rnacentral:lncRNA from 1 species
AGAGAAAAAGGGGGAAAAGAAAUAAGAACCCUAGCUGAAAAAAUUUGGGGAAAAUCAAGAGAAAUCAAGAAAUCAAGCAUUAAAAAGGUAAAUUUCAUUGAUUUUCCUUGUGAUUUUCACUACCCAUGCAUUUUUUUCUCAUUUCCAUGCAAAAUUAGAAAGUGGGUAUGGACACCUAUGCUGGCCAAACCUCCAUGGAUGAGUUUUGAGCUUGAGUUUUGGUUGAUUUUAAUUGAAUUAAGUGAUUUUAGUUAGGUUAUAUUGAAAUAUAGCAAAAAUAAGCUAGAGAAAUAAUUUUCUCCCAUUGAAACCCAUUAUGCUGAAUUUUCUAGGGGAAUAUUGGCUGCUGAUCUUGAUGUUUAUUUGAGGAAUUAUGAUGAAUAAUGAUGAAUUAUGAGCCUAGAAAAAUAAUGGGAAUUUUCGGAGCAAAAAUAUGAAUUUUUACCCACUAGGGGUAUUUUUGUAAUUUGCUAUCGGGACUGAUAAUUUGCACCACACUGAGGAACAUUAAGUCAAUUUGGGUGCAAUUGAGGUAUAGAAAUUGAAAAAAAUUAAUUUGGAGUUUAAACGGACGCGUAUAUCGAUUUAUCGGGUAAAAGACCGAAAUAGGCUAACAUCUCGUUUAGGCAAAAUUUAGACAUUUUGCACUUCAUAUCAUGCAUUAGUAGUAUAAAUUAGUUUAUUUUGGUUUAGUACCAAAGUAGUAAACCUCUUAAUUGUGCAAUUUGUCAAGGUGACGAAUCCUCUGGCAAGGGCAAAGAAAUCGCACCCGAGGAGUAAUAGUUGGAGUACCCGAAUUUAGUUUUCGAAAACUGUGAGUAAACUUAUUAUCGUCUUAAUUAUCUAGAGUAGUUUUAUACAAUUGUGUGAUUUUAUGGAAAAUGGGUUUAAAUGGUAAAUUGCUAUGUUUUAAGAGAAAUUGUGAUUUUAUAGAAUGAUUUUAUAAAUUUUCUGAAAAAUCGAAUACUGGUUUUGAAAAUAGAGUAAUUGGAGACUACCUGCUUGUGUUGUAAAUUUAGGAGUUUAAAUUGAAUGGCUUACGACAAUAAAUAAGUAUGAAUGGCUAAACUGAUUUUGAUGUUAUAAUUAUUUAUACUGUGUAUUUAGCCUUGAGAGGCUAGGUUGCGAUAAAUUGCCAUGUCAUGCAGAAAAAGAUUUUAUAAAUCAGGUGGUAGAUAAAAGAUUAGCUACUGCAGUGGUGGGGGGUUCCGUGGGCCAACAUAUUAGAGGGGUACGGUAAACUCCUUUAUAUUCUCACCUCGGUCGUAGAGGCGCGUAGGGUAUCUCCUGAGGUGGGCUUUUUGAGUGCACUUCACGUGGACCACCGCGUGCUAGUGAGACUCAGCCAACGCCAAGGAACGGCUAUGUUUCAAAAUAAAAAUAUUAUUUAUGCGAAAUAUGAAUUUUUAACAGCCUUGGCGGACUCGGUUGGAUACCCCUGGUCCAGGUGUCACCGAGUACAGGAUUUGGCAUGAGCCAAGUUUUGAGUAAUUCACGAGCCAUAUUGAUUAGUUGGUUGAAAUGAAUAUUUGUGAUGUGAAAAAUUUGCUGAAAUGAAUUAUUUUUAAUUGGCUCCCUUUACUUGCCUUUAGAUAGUUUAGAUGGUGUCUGUUUACUCACUGAGAUUUUAUAAUCUCACCACCCUCAAUUCCACACAUUUCAGGUUCGGGAUAGCCGGUAGAUAGCCGAUUGCAUUAAGGACUUCAGUUAGCCUUGCAUUGUCAAAAUUAUAGGUUCAUAGACUCGCAUCUUAUUGGUUAGUUGGGGGCCUACGUGUCAUUGUAAAAGUAAUUUUAUAUUUUCAUUAUCUGAUUUAAAAUAUGUAUGAACAUAUUUAGCUUUUACACCAUGUUUUUGGCGAGUUUCGAUAUUAUUGAAGAAAAAUGACAAAAAUACCCCUGUGAGCCAAAAAAUAAUAUUUUAUUAUUUUGACUUGGAAACGACUUACGAUUUCUUGAAAUGUAAGAUUUAAUAACUGUCACUCACUGGGGAGAUGCGAAAGCUAAUGCUAAGCCUUAUAGGGUUCCGAUCGGCAUUCGGGGUAAUGAGUGCCUAUCGGGACGUCGUGGGAGUUGUCACGGGCUCAAUGGGAGUUCUGGGUCGUGACAAUAUGAGUCAAGGAUGGCACACCUAAUUUUUGUUUAGAGGUGCAGUAUUAGGUUUAGUCUUGAGGUCGAUGUUAGAAUGAUCAACAGUGCCACCAAAGGCUCUUUGUGUGGAUACUUCUUAUGUAAAUGUACAGUUUAUUUUCGUUCAAAAUGACAUUGUUAUUGCCAUGAGUCUUCAACUACUCAAGGCUAUAGAUUCCAAAUGGCAUAACGGUUUUGAGACUAAUAAAACAUACUAUAAAAAAAAAAAAUCAACAUCUGGAUACCGAUUACUAUUAAGAGUAUUUUAUAUAAAAAUGGAACAUUAUUAGAAUACACAUACAUUGAAUCUUAUAAUGGACUUAAAAUAUUAUUGAGUUAUUUAGAUAUUGUUGUUUUAAAUUUUUAUGGAAUCUACAUUAAAGUUAAAUUAUUACCACCAAAUAUUAGAUAAUUAAUUUUUAUGAAAAUAUGCCUAAAUAUGACCAUUGAGUUUUAACUAAAAUAAUAUAAAGUCAACGGUAUUAUUUUUAUUAUACUUUCUUUAUAUUCUCACUUUACUAUUUUAUAAUUCAAAAUAUGAUAGUGAGACUUAUAUUUUUCAACUUUCAUCGUUUUUAUUUGGUUUAAUUUUUUUAAUGAUUUAAUUUAUUUUAUUAUUUUUAACUAUCAUAAAAUUAUUUUAUUUUAUUUAUCUUUUAUCCAAAAACUUCUGGUUUUUUUAGUAAAGUUGCAUAUUUUGUUUUUCAUUAGUAGAAAUAAAUUGAAAUAUUAUGAAAUAUGUUUCCACAUCCUAAAACACUUCUACGUUAAUUUUGUCGAAUGCUAUUUGAAUUAUCAUUACAACACCUUUAAAACAGCUCUACUCCAACCGCACUUCUUACAAAAACACCAACCGAGCCAAUAAAGCUCUCAAUUUUUAUAUUUUUAUUUGGAUACAAGUCUCUGAGACUAAUAGUGCAAACAAUUACCAUAAAAACUUAUCAAUGGGUCUCUACUUCAUAAAGCCCUGUUCUUUUUUAGCUUUUUGUCACUAUCAUCUAUUUCUUACUUCCACACACACAUACACACAAAGUAAAAUCUCUAAAAAUUAGUAUCCUCGAGAUCAUGAAAAUUUAUUAAUAAAUCGAGAUAUUAUUUAAUUAAUAAAUUAAUAAUUUAUUAAUUUAUACAUUAAUUAAUAAAAAAUUAAUUUAUCAAGGAAUUCUUUUUUUUUCCAAAACAUUGAGCUUAAUACAUGUUUUGUCUAUUGUGAUUAUACGAAUAUUACUUAAUUACCGAAUUACAAAUUAUCAUUAUUCUAUGUAUUUGUUUAGCCAAAACAAAUUCAUGAAUGUAAUUAGGCUUAUUAAAUAGAAGUCAUGAAUUUAUCCAUUUUUUUUUCAAAAUGCAUUAUUGUUGUCGAUUUUAUGAAAAUCUUUUGGAGGGCUAAAAUUGAGAUUCCAAAUCUAAAGAAGAUAAAUGUUUUUGAGGCAAUGAAUUUUACAAUCUCGGCUUGGACAACAAAUGUUCAAGCAAUUGCAAUUGCAAAUUGUUUUCGACAAUGUAAAAUUAGGUCUAUAGAUAACAUGCCUCCAAAGAAUUUUGAUCAACACUCAAAUGAUAGAGCCAUUCAACAAUUACACGUUCUAAUCAAAGAGUUUACGCAUCGUGAUAUAAUGGAUGCUGAGUACCUUUUGAAUUACCCAAGAGAAAUUUAGGCAACUUCAGAGUUGUUGAGUGACAAGCAAAUUAUUUAGAAGGCCAUGGGAAAUAAUAAAAAAGAUGAAGUUGUAGACGAUAGUUCUGUAUUGGAGUCUGUCUUAUGCAAAGAUGUACUUAAAGCAAUAAUCACAUUGCUUAACUUUCUCUUACAAUACGAGAACACUACACUAGAGCUUCUUAAUGGCUAAGAAAAGUUAGAGAUGUGGUCCAAGGAAACAAUAAUUUCAAGAAAAAAAAGUAACAUUUGAAUCAUAUUUUACAAAAGCCUCCUAAUUACGUCAUGUAUAUAUAUAAUUUUGAUGUAUAAGAAAAUUAUUAAUUUAUAUAUUGAAUGGGUCUUAUGUGUUUUUUUAAAAUAUAUUGUCUUAUAAAUUUAGCGAAUUAUUAAUUUAUCAUGUUGGUCUCAAGUCGGGACUAACUAAAUGUCAAACCCUGUUCUAUAAAAUAAUUACGACGUCAUUUACAUGCUCAAUAGAAUGUUUGCAUAUUUAGGAAGUUCGAGGAAUCAUUAAAAGACGAUAUUGCCCCUACUAGUACCAUUAAGUCGAUUAAGCCUCGAAUUAGUUUAAAUAGGAAUUUUAAGGUAAAAUUAAGAAUUUCACAGUUCAGGGAUGACUCAAAAUAGUAAUUCGGAGUUCGAGGAUCAAUUUGGAGUCAAACCGAAAUUUUCACUAUCUAGGGGCAAAAUGGUCAUUUGCCACUUGGGGAUAAAAUGAGAAUUUUUAGAAAAGAUUUUUUGGCCCCAUUUGACUUAUUGGAGUAUGAUUUGAGGUUUAGAAGUGAAAAAUUUUAAUUCUAGUAUAAUUUGGAGUAUAGGGGCAAAAUGAUAAUUUUACCACCCCAAGGGCAAAUCGGUAAAUUUUUACCUCAAAAUUUGUCCAGACCAAGGGAUUUUAUUCAUCAUGGAAAUGGAUAAACAUGAGAAAUGUGUGGUGGAGAAUUAAAGAAUUAAAAGUCAAAAUUUAAAAUUUGAACCAAUAAGGAAAUGCCAUGUGUCAUGUUUUUAUUAUUUUAUUAUUUCUUUAUAAAAAGGUAAAAAAAUCAGCCCAUUUCUCCCAUAGUGAUCAGCCAAACCAAAAGAGAAGAGAAACCAAGGAAGAACAAACCCUAGGUGGGAAAAAUCAAAGAGAAAGUGUUGGAAUUCAAGGAUUUGAUUAAGCAAAGGUAAAAUUUCUUUGAUUUUGCUAGUGACUUACCUUACCCAUGCAAUUUUCCCUUAAUUUUCAUGGUUAAAUUACAUGUUUUCAUGAUGAAUUCAUGGCUGGUCAAAAUGGGUAUGGAGAGAGAAUGAUCUUGGAUUGGUUUGUAUUUUUAGGUAUGUUAGUGUUUUUAGGUAAUUAAUGAUGUGUAGUAUGAAAACAAGUGAAGAAAACCACCAAAGGUUUGGUGCCCAUCAAUAGCCGAAUUCUCUAAGUGAAUAAUGAGGAAGAAUGGGAUGUUAUUCUAGGUGAUUUGAUUAAGAAAUAAUAGUUUUUGGUGUAGGAAUUAAUGAAUUAUGGAGAGAAAAUUAAGUAGGAAAAAUCACGGAGUUAGUGUACCAUUGUUGGCCGAAAGUUCCAAGAAGAAAAGUGAAGAUAAAUUUUGCCUAAUUGUGUGUUAAUUAGUUGUGCUUGGUGAAUUGAGGGAUUGGAAAAGAAAUGGAGCAAGUUGGAGUGAAAUUGGACACAUUGGCCAAUUUAUCGGAUGAAAAAUCGACUUAGGCCAAUAACGGGUCUAGAUAGCUACCCGUGCAUUUUUCAUUUCAUAUCAUGCAUAUAUAUCGAGCCUGAAAUAGCUUAUGACUAUUAGACACAAUUUAAUUGGAAUAUGUGUCAUGGAUUAUGGCUAGGUGGUGAGCCAUUGGAUACGAGUAAAGGAUUGUACCCGCGGACUGAAAAAAGGAGUAUUUCUACUCCUAAUACUGUGAGUGGACAAUUUAUUGUCUUAAAUAUCUAGAGUAAUUAUACUUGUUUGAUGCUUUUAUUGAAUGGUGAGUUUAAAUUAUAAAAUAUUAAGUUUCCCAAUUAAAAUAUUUUUUUAAUAAAAAUGAGAUUUAUACUGGUUUUGAAAUCAAAUAUUGUUUAGGGAAAAUUGAGUAUAUGGAGACUGUGUUGAAAUUUAUGAUUUUAUAUGUUAUUAAAAUUGUGGCUUAUGACACUAUGGUAGCAUGAUGGCUAAAUUUUUUAGGUUGGCAUGAAAUAUAUGAACAGUUUGGGAUUGGUCUCGGUAGAUUGGAUUAAAUUUUAUUUGCCAUAUUAUGCUACUAGAAAUUUUAUGGGUCUGAUGGUAUAUUAAACGAUCACUGCAGUGGUGGGGGUUUCCGUGGACUGCCUAUGAGAGGGGUACGGUAACCCAAUUAUAUAUUUACCUUCGAUGGGAGAUGUUGGGUGAAGUAUCUCCUGAGGUAAGAUUUGAGUGCACCUCACGUUCGGGCCACCACGUGAGAGUGAGACUCAGCUAACGCCAAGGAACGACUGUGUGUUAGAUGUGAAAACAUGUUUAUGGGUAUGAGAUAUUUAACAGCCUUGGCGGUCUCAGUGGGAUACCUUGACGAAUGUACUUACGAGAAUGAUUCUGGCAGGGGCCAAGUUUAAGAAACUCAUAAGCCAGGGAAAUUUUGAUGAAAAUAAAUUGUUUGGUAUAGAUUGAAACAAAUUUUGCAUUAUGAACAUUAUUGAGAUAUAACGUUUUUAUAUUGUCUCCAUCUACUCGGCUUUAGAUGCUUUUGAUGGUAAUUGUUUACCUACUGGGAUUAUGUAAUUAUAAUCUCACCCCUCUUCCUAUCCAUUUUUCAGGCUCAGGACAGUUUGUUGAUAGUUAAUUAAGACGAGAAUUAAUCUCAGAAUUGCAUCCUAGAAAGUAAGGGUUCGUAGCCCUACACCUUCUUGGUCAGUUGGGGGCUCACAUGUCACUGUAAAAGUAAUUUUAUACUUCAGUUAUCUGAUUUAAAGUAUGUAUGAACAUAUUUAUCUUUUACACCAUGUUUUUAACGGGUUUCGGUAUUUUUGAAGAAAAAUGGCGAAAAUGCCGUUGUGACCCAGAAAAUAAUAUUUUAUUGUUUUGAUUUGGAAACGACUUAUGAUUUCUUGAAAUGCGAGAUUUAAUAACUGUCGCUCACCGGGGAGAUGCGAAAGCUGAUGCUAAGCCUUGCGGGGUUUCGAUCGACAUUCGGGGUAAUGAGUGCCUAUCGAGACGUCGCGGCGGUUGUCACGGGCCCGAUGGGAGUUCCGAGUCGUGAUAAUAAAAAUAUUAUUUAAUUGAAAUUAUCAGUUUAUUUAAUAUUAAUUUAUAGAAAUUUUACUAUAUAUAUCUUUUAAUAACAAAAUUUCUAAGUCUAGUUUUGAUAUAGCUAGACGUAAGUUUAAUUAAGAAUUGCUUACUUUAAUGAACAAUUUAAAAUGAAUAGGGAAAUAAGUGUAUAAAAAUUAGUCAAUAUUUAAUUUAAUAACAAAUUAUCAAUUAAAGAAAAUUUAGUCUAAUUAAUAAAGAAUUUAAUAUUAAUAUAGAAACAAAUAAAAAUUAUUCAAUAUUUUAAUUAGAUAAAAAUAAUUAAUUUAAUAAAUUGUCAAAGGUAUACAUAUUGGUCACUAGUACCACUUAGGAAAUUCAUAAUUUUAUAUGAUAAAAAUGAUAAUGAUAAUAAUAAUUCCUUGUAAAAUGAAAGAUGUCUCGAUUAGGCGUGAGUUUUAGAAGUUGUUUCUUUCAGCUUUAGCUAAGGCAUGUUUGUACUUGGUCGCUCGUUGCAGGAUUUGUAACAUGCACAUUAGACUUGCAAUAAAAUGGUGUGGAUAUAGCCACAAGGUAGGCUUGUUUCAUACUCACCAAGUGUUUGCUUAUUUUCCCUUGAUCAUUUGAGUACUUGUUUAGUUUAAACUUAAUUUAGUUGAUUUUGUGCAUUAGAGGGAAUGUUAGUCUUAAUUUUCACUCUUCAAUUGCUGUGGAUGCCUUUGGGGGACUCCUAUCCAUCUAGAGUGAUAACGUUUUUGACUGGGAAUCAUUGGGAAAGUCAAAGGUGCCGACUUCAAAUGCAGAAGGUCUAAAGGAAGCUCUUCAAGUCAAAUUUAUGAACAACAAUUGAAGAAGUCUUAGGUGAUUGAACAAAUUCUAUGAUUAAUUAAGAAUAAAGGAAGAUCAACAUGAAUAAGUUAAAAGAAGAAGUAAUCAAACAAAUAAAGGUUGGUGAAGUUGGUUGCUUGAAAAAUAGUAAGCUUUUAAUCGGUUAAAGCCUUUCUUAACCAGUUAACACAGUGAAGCAGACUACAAAACAGAGAAGACUUAAUCGAUUAAGGCGUGUAGUUAACCAGUUAAAAGCUCACUGUCAAGAAAUUUGAAUUUGAAUGCUAGAAGAUAAAAUAAUGGUUGAUUAGUUCCUAAACUAUUUCCAACAGUCUGAAGCUAUCCAAAUCCAUCGGAGUUGAUUCUUUCAAGUAUAAACGACAUCCUCAACGGUUCAAAUGGCAGAGAUGCUUCCAAGAGCUCAAAAAAGGACACAAGUAUAGUUAAAAUGCUCUCACUUUCUCUUAUAUUCCACUCCAAUCUUUGUAAUAGAGUUUAGCACCUCAUCUUGUACCAUUUAGAUCAACUUAGUGAUCAUAGGUAUAUUCUUUUAUUUGUAUUUAACACUUACUUAAAAUGUGCGAGACACUCUAAGUGAUUCAUCAAGCUUAGGUUUGCUUGAUUUGUGUUGUAAGUUCUAACUCAGCCUAAGAAAAGUUCGUUUUGGGUUUUGGUUGAUCUUGGAAAAAAUCAUUGUUAAAAGUUGUGGCUAAACUUAUGAAAAGCCAUUAUAAAAGCUUAGUGAAAGCUUGGGAAUUUCACAAAUUUUAGUGAAUUACUUUGAAAAUCCUUGAUUGAAAUAUCAAAGUAGUUGAUGUAAUUCAAAAGGACCAAAACACUAUAAAUAGUUAAGCAUUGUCCACUCUCCUUCAUUUCUUUGUUCAACUCAUUCCUAAAUUACUCCUCCAACAACUUUUAGACUUUCCUCAUCAAAUUCCUCUUACAAGCUCUUAACUAGGAACCAACUUUUAUAGACAUUCGAAAAGUGCUAUUCACCCCCCCUCUAGCACACUCUUUGAGACCAAUAGUAAAUCAAGACUCACUGGUUAGGAUGGCCUUUAGUGACUUGGUUGAAGGCCUACCAGACAUAAAGAAACUUGAGAAGCUGUGCAUAGUAUGCAAGUUUGAAAACAUAAUGCAAAAAGUAUUGAAAGAGUGAUUUUAGCAAACAAAGAUCAACUACAAGAAAAUGAUGAUUAUUCAGCACAUAUUAAAGAUAAAAGUCAAACAGUUAGAGGCAUAAGGACUUUGAAAGAUAUCUAUAACAGAUGUAACAUAGCUAUGAUAGAUCCAACAAGUUUUACUGAGCUAAGUCUGAUGCAAAUUGGAGAGUGACAAUGGAUGCGGAGUAUUUCGAGGAAUUAAAGGACCAGAUGAUAAAAGUUUUCGAGCUGACUAAUCUUUGCUACUUGACUGAAGACAUUUAAGUUGAACAGCCUAUAGGUUAUGAAGAACAAAACUCUAAAAGCAUGGUGUGUAAGUUGAUCAAAGCUUUGUAUGGACUCAAACAGGCUCUUAAAGCUUGGUAUGAAAGAUGGAUGAUCUUCUCAGAGGACAUGGUUUUGAUAGAAGUUUUAAUGAGUUUACAUUGUAUGUGAAGUAGUCAAAUGGUUCAGUUGUGCUUAUUAUGGCAUUAUAUGUUUAUGAUUUAUUGAUUACAGGUCUUGAUAAUGAGUUUCUAGUAUAAUUCAAAAACCAAAUGAAAAAGGAGUUUGAAAUGACAGAUUUGGGACAGAUGACCUAUUUUUAAAGGAUGGAUUUUGUUCAAGUUGCUAACCAAAUUUUUGUUCCUCAAACCAAAUAUGCCAAGGACUUGUUGAAAAGGUUCAAGAUGGAGCUUUAUGAACUUGUUCCUACUCCAUUAUCAAUAAGUGACAAGUUAUGCAAAAAUGAUGGAGCUGCUAAGGUAAAUAGAUUAGUUUAUAGAAGCAUAAUUGGUUCCUUGCUGUUUCUUUCUUCUACAGGGGCUGAUAUAAUAUUUUCCACAAGCUUGUUAUCAAGAUUUAUGAAAACACAUUCUAAAUUGCACUUUAAAGGUGCUAAGAGAAUUCUAAGGUAUGUUAAAGGCACUCUUAACUUUGGCCUUAAGUAUUGCAAGUCAUAAAGUGGUGAGUUGAAGGGCUAUACUAACAGUGAUUGGGUUGGUUCAAUGGAUGAUUCAAAGAGCACUGGAGGGCAUUGCUUCUCAUUUAGGAGUAGAGUCUUCUCUUGGAACUCCAGGAAAUAAGAUGUGGUUACUUAAUCUUUAGAGGAAGUAAAAUAUAUAGCAAUUCCUGUUAUUGUAAAUCAUAUUCAAUAGUUGAGAAAGAUUCUCUCAGAUUUGGGAUUUGAGCAAGUUAAAGGUACAAUGUUGAAUGUUAACAAUACGUCUGCUAUUGUUAUAGCAAAUAACCUUGUGCAGCAUGAUCGAACCAAACACAUUAGGUUAAGUAUCAUGCGCUUAGAGAAGUAGCCAAGGAGAAUGAAAUACUGCUUCAAUAUUGUCAUACAGAUGAAACAAUUUGAUGAUAUCCUGAGUAAGGACAGAUUUGAGGCACUAAGGUCUAAUUUGGGUGUUUACUAGGCUAAAGAUCAUGGGGGUAUGUUGAAAAAUGAUCUUUAGCUGGUUAAACAGAAACUCUCUAACCGAUUAAGAAGUAUCGUUAACUGGUUAAAGCUUGAAGUGGUGGAAAACAAAAACUCUUCAAUCGGUUAAGCAAUAUUGUUAACUGGUUAAAGUUUCGUUGGAAAAAAGAAAUUGUGUUUGAAGAAAGCAACUGACAGGUGGCAAAAUGACAUUAUUUUAUAAUUUAUUUAUUUUUUUGAAGUGUGAAGCGCUUGUCUAAAGUAUCGUUUAGCAAGUGUUUUGUUUUUUUCUUCUUAUUGUUCUUGUCAUUUUGUAAGGCUGUUACACUAUUUUUCUUUUUUUGUCUUUUUCCAAGUUGUUAUUGAGCACAAAUACCUAUGCUUAGUCUCUUUGUGCUCAAUUGGUUUUUUGUAGUUCUUAGGUCACAUCUAAGUCAAGGAAUAAUUUUCCAUGUCUGUAAGUGAUUUGUAUAUUGAAAAAGAGAAUGAAAAUAGUGAGUCAAUUCCCCAAAAAUUUUUUUCUUCUUUUGCUCUGUUUCACCUACUUCCUCUUUAAAAAUUUUCUUCACGUGUUUUUUCUGUGAUAUCUCUCAAAAUCUUUGCAAACGGGAAAUGAUGGUAUCGCAUGAUAGUGAGAUUGAGAAGAUGUUACCCAUAGUUAGUUUUGGUUUUGGUAUUAAAUGGAAUUCAACAAUUUCUGUUUAGGAGAAAAUUGAAUUGAUCAAAGAAGCUUUUAGAGAUAUUAUAAAAAUUGAAGAUAAAAAGAAGAAAGAGAGAAAAUGCUUAUAAGGCAAAGGGAAAACUCCUAGAAGUUUUCUUAUGUUUGCUAAUUCUAACUUGAUCGAGGGUCUGGGAGUAGUUGCAAUGUGAAUAUUAUUUGCAAUAUCCUACAUGUUCUCUCAAUAUUGUUUAAAAGAUAAUCAUCCCUGCAACCACCCGGAAUACACAUUACUAUAACAUUUUAUUAUUUAUUUAAUCACUAACUAUAUUAAAGUCUGUUUCUUUGUCACAAUCCUACAUGUAAUGUUGUAUUUAUAUUUGAAGAUAUUAGAGUUAAAGUUCCUAAAUAAUAUUAGGAUAGAGGUAUUAAUCUAAAUAAUAUUUUCUCCCUUAAAUUGAAAAAAUAAAUAAAGGAGUGGAACCAGUUGUCGUUAGCAUGGAUGAAGUCCUUAUAUAAGUAUAGCUAAAAUUGGUAGUUGUCAAGUUAAAAAAUUGAUGGUGCUUGCUGGGCUUUGACUAAAAUUACAUGAUAACUACAUUACAUUUUUUUCUCAAAAAGAAUUAUCCUGCAAUUUAAUUUUAACAAAAUUGUUAAAAUAUUUUAUGAAGAUACAUUACAGUUGACAAUAAUGGAAAAAAGAAAAAAAAAAAAAAGGCAAAAGGCUUAUUACAUAAUAUGAAAUACUUUAUGAAUUGAUUCGCAGUUGCCCAAAGUCUUAAUUUAAGUCAUUUCCUAAUAACAAUUCAAAUAACGUGUUUUGCCGUUAUUGGUAUUUAUUAAUAAUUCAAUUAAAUUAUACAAUUUUUUAAUUUUAAAAAAAUCAUAUAUUUUCUUUUUAUAUUAUUAUUUAAACUAUUAGGUCCUAUUUGAUUCAAGAAAAAUUUGAAGGAAAAGUAAAACAAAAUUAAGAAUUUUAAUUUUUCCUUGUUCGGUUGAUAUGAAAAUACGAGGAAAAUUAAUUUGAGAAAAACUUGAGAGAACAUGACUUCUUCUCCCAUAACAAUUAAAAAUGAAAAAUGUUUUGUAAGAGAACAUUUAGUCUUACAUAUAAGAUUGUGUAACUAAGGAGAGAAAUCUUUUGUAAGAGAAGGUUGUAUACCUUAUCUUAAAUCAAACAGUUAAUUUUAUAUUGGUUGAAAAAUGGAAUAUGUGAUUGCUUACUUUAGAUGAUGAAAAUUAAUAUUUCUCUCAUUUUCUCAUGUUUUACCCAUUUCAUUUGCAUGGAAAACUCAUAUCCAUGACUUCUUUGAAUUUUAGGUUUCAAAAAACAUCUCAAAUUCAAAUCAUUAACUAUAUUGAAGUCUCUUUGUCAAAAUCCUGCAAGUAAUGUUCCUUGUUUGAUCUGUCCUAGUAACUCACAAGUCUUAAGAUAAAUACAUUGACACUUUUCUCACCCAAAGGUCCAUUGGGCCUUUGGCAUUUUAUGUUGCCUCAAACCAGUCAGGAAGGAACCUGCACAAUAAAACUAAUUUCAUAGUUGUAACCAGUAACAAUUCCAAAUCACUCUAUUCAAUGCGGAAGCAAAUAAAAAGAGUUUACCACUUUGAUGUGCUACAUUAUGGAAUUAAUCAUUUGCUGAAUGCUGUUGCCAGAAAAAAAAAAUCCAAGAUCUCAUUACCUUAAACAAAUAUCUGAAACAACAAAACUCUUAGCUUUCUCACAUCAGUGAGCAAUUUUAUCUUCAGCAAUUAUAGAGAUGUAGUCCUAAAUAAACUCUAAGUAAACGCAAUUAUGGAGGUUCACACCGGUGAAUCCUAAGAAGUAACUUAAUUUGCCUCAAAAAUUCACAAUUAUAUCUUUGGCAGCUGCAAGUUACCAAUGGAUUUCCUAGUUAAUGCAGCAAACGCAAACAAUCUGUUCCACAAGUUUACAAAAGCAUCCAUGUAUCAAUAAAGACAACUAGCAGGCCACGGAAAGUAAGAACAAACAUGUUGAAUGGAAAAGUUUUUACUAGAAAAAUUAUAAGACAGCGGCAGUACGCUUUACAUAUCAAUAAAAAAUGCAUCAAUAUAUCUCCUAUUCUCCUAACUCAUAUCUACUUACAAAAUUUCCUAAGAAAUAAUAUUCAAAACAUCAAACUGUUUAAAGUAUCAUCUGCCCUACAUGUGGCCAACAAUGACAUAAUUUCAUCAUCAACAAUAAUGUCAGGAGACUCCAAGAACUCAAGAUCAUCAUUGGCAAUAGCCACUGGAGAAUAAUCUUCACUUUGUCCAGAAGAGAGCAUUGCUGAAACACUAUCAUCAACCAAAACUUGAGAAGCCUCCAUGGGUGUGAGAGACUUGUUUGCAUCAAGAACCACCGAAGGAGAAGCUGCAAAAUGACUUGAUUCAGCCGGCGAUCCAAGGCACUGGCUCUGAGGAAAACAGGGGCUAGCAGUACCAGUGAAGGUUGGUGUAGGCAAGUCCGUGGAAUUAGAGACCUCCUUAAUAACUUCCUCAUCCUAAACCCUAAUCCUCCUCUCUAAAUGGUGCUCCAUAUUGGGCACCGUUUCUAUGGCCUGGACCAUCCUUGCAGAAGAUAACACAAAGAACGGAAGCCUCCUGUACAAUUCCCUUGUCAAGUCUGUAUUCGUGCAGAACCUAAUCUGUUCCCUCUCCUCGUGGGGCUUUCCCUCUAUGGAAGACCAAAGUUUUAAUACUCCCCACAACUUUGUCAUUGUAACGAACAGGUCUGUCUUUUCUAGUGGUCUCCCAAUACCCAUAGGUAGUGGCACGAUUGAACUUACUCCCUUUUCCAUAUUUCUUCUCCAUAGGACAGAAAAAGUACCACUUGAGAUCCCCAGUCCUUAGAAGAGACUUGUGUGGCAGAUCCCACGGAGCAUACUUAUAUAUGUCAACCUCAGCAAUAGCUUCAAAAGAAAACUUCUUCCCCAAAACCUUCCUCCUCAGAUAGUAUUGAAGAAGCUCAACGUCGGUAGGAUGAAAUCGAAAUCCGGGAGGCAGUGAAUUUUUCUCCAUUGAACAAAACAUAUAUGUCCCACAGUGACCAAUGACGAUAAUAUGUACUCUCGAGUAGUGAAUAAACCCUAUUUAGAACGUAUCAGAAUAAAUCCCUAAGAUCAAAAUGAGUAAAUCCCUGAAUUCAAAAAUCAAGAAACCCUAAGAAUCAGACCAACAAAAAAAUCAAAAAAUGGAAUGAGAAACCAACAAUGAAGAAAUUGCAAAGUAGAAACAGCAAGUGAAGAAGAAAAGAAGACAACUUACCGAAAGAGAAGAAGUCAAUUGCGAAUUGAAAGAGUGAGCUGAAAGUUGGAGGCAGAAAAAAGGAAGCCAAUGGACUCCCUCGUUUAUAAACGCGCCAGCUACUAACCGCAUUGUGGAAGUAGCCGUUGCUCCAUAGUUUUUCUUUUUUCUUUUUUCUCUUUUUGAAUAUUAACUUUUAAGCCUUGAGGAAUUUAUGGACAAAGGGCAAUCACUUUCCAGUUAAUUAGUAAAUUAUGUUUAAUAAUUAUUCAAUUCAUGACAUGUAUGAAAGGAUUAAAACUUCUUACCCAAGUGAUAAGAGUUACUUGUCAUUUUCUGUUAAAAUAAUCAUAUUUAUUUAUUCAUUAUUUUUUAAAAUUUUUAUUAUAAAUAUUUUUAAUUAUCAUCAAUGUUAUUAAAUUUUUUUUUAUGAAUAUCAUUCAACUAAACUCUUAUUCAAAAUCUAACCAUGCACAAGCUGUAGUAUCCCAUUACAAAAUAAGCGUUGAAAUGGAUCGAUUAUAUAUAUCUUAUGAAAAAUCCAUUAAGGCUAUGUAAGUAGAGUGAGAGGAAUGAGCAAUUGUACAUUUAUUCCUUCUUCCCUUCAGCAGCGUACAGUGCUUUAGAUUCUUCAACAUCAUCGUAGCUGCCAAGAAAUGUUGGACAUAAUCAUCAGCGUUCAGUGUAUCUUUGUUAUAAAUAUAUAAAAAAUUUAAUUAAAUCGAAUGAAUGAAUAAUAAUUAUUUAAUUUGUAAAUUGAAUGAAUUUCAUAAUAACUAUUUUUAAUUUUAAUAGUAUUGAAUAAUUUAUUUAAUAUUAUGAAUUGUCUUUUUAUCAAUGAAAUGGACUUUAUAUUUUAUAUAUAAUUACUAUUCAAAAUAAAUAAAAAUAAACAUUUACGAAUAAUGUAAAAUAUGGAUCUUUUAACACAAAUAUUGGGCCAAAAGCAAACAACAUAUCAGUUUAAAGCAAGCAAUUUUAUAUUAGCUAUAAUAAAUUAUACGUACAAACACUAAAGUCCUAAGUUAUCAUCCAAUCACUGCACUGUUAUGAACUUAAAAGUUGGUUCAUGGCCUGAGACUUGUAUGAUAAACCCUGACAGAACCCCUGCACAGUUUUGAAGCCUAUGCAUGCGCAGAUUUGAUGUGUACCUUCUGUGCUUGCGUUGUGUGUUACAAAAGGGUUAAUUAUACUUUGAAUUUGUUAGAUCUUAAUGCAGUUUGUGUAAUACAUUUCAAGUCGCUGAAUUUCAAGCUUUCUGAGUUCCCUUUUCUUAGUUGUUCCUGAGUUAAGUUUACUGCUCUUCAUUUACUGUUUGCAAACCAGUUUUAUGCAUUGAAUGUCAUUGCUUUAAGUUGUUCUUUCAUUCACAACAAACUCAUCUUUAGAACACACUAGUUUGUCCAAAGCUUUGCAUUAGUUUUUUGAUCUGUUUGCACAUGAUUAGGAUUCAGACAGAUUCACUGCAGUAAACUGAAUGACCAAGCAUACCCUUGAGACUUUUGUUGCUGCUAAUUAUAAUCUGUUGGUGAUGGAACCUGAUACAAUUGUGGGGAUACUGACUAUGUUAAUAUGAAUUAUCUCAGAAUCUCAAACAUUGGUUACAGAUUUCCUUACUUUGAAAACAUAGAUGAAUUCCUAAGGUAACUCUGAGAUAUCUCACUUAGAGAUUGACAUACAUAUGCUAUAAAUUCCAAAAUACUUUUGACAAGAUAUUGAAUUUCCUACAUGAUCUAAAUGAUAAUAAGUUGCAAAUUAACAAGUACAGCAGGUAUUUUUGUUUUUCCACUGGAGCUGUUGCGCUUCAUUAGCUUUUCCUAAAAGCUUUCUCGCAUACUAGUGAUUGUAUCAAUAGCAUUCAUGUAUAAGAUCCUCACAAAACACAAUCAUUGUUGCUUAAACAAGAGAAAAUAGAACAAAAAGAUAAAUUGGAAAAUCAAGAUAACUAAAUCCAAGACUACCUAUUGAGGCUAAGAUUUUCCUAAUGCAAAUAUUUGGAAACUGGAACAACUACCAUUUCAGAUAUAUAUACAAUGAUGGCAAGAAUUUGAAUAUCAAUAUUUGAGACACAAGUCAGAGUCAACUUCCUUAAUCUUAGAAGAGUUUGAUUUCCAGCUAUCAGUUUUCUCUAAUAGUCUGUUGGACAGUAAUCUAACAUUCUUCACUUGUAUGAAGGGGUAGGCAGAGUGGUCAUGUCUUCAAUCCAAUCGGCAUAGAUAUCGCAUAGCUUCACAAUUUCUUUGCGCUUUAAUGACCCCUUCGUUUCUUGCAGUUGCUGCUUGAUAUGAUUCCCAAUACCAUUCCCGUUUUUAUGAACGUCCUUCCAAGCAAAAGUUGGUACACUCCAAGAUUCUAAUGCAAAAUGGCCAUGAAGCUUCUGUAGUUCUGCAAAUGAAAACAACAACUAACAUCAGGAAAAUGGAAAUCCGUAAAUUAGAUCCAUCAAACUAGCAAAUUCUUCUCAAAGCUUUAAAUUUGAUGUUCAAUGAUAAGAAUUUGUUAAAUAUAUUAAACCUAUUCAAUGACUAUAUUUAUUCAUAUCAAAGAUGAUCCAAACAUAUUCCAUUCAAUCCCACAAAGAGUAAUUAUAAUUUAUUUUGCUCUAGGUCUCCACAUCAAAUACUGAGGCAAAAGAAAUUAAGAGCCAAACGAGAUUUAUUUAGAUUGGCUGGCAGAAACAUUAUUGUUUCUGAAUCCUAAAAGAAUUAGCUGCUUUCCAAAGACUAAUUUAUCUACAACAGUGGAGCCAAUGAAAGAAAUCAAAUUCUAGAUCUGUUUCAUGGGUUAUAAGCAGAAUCCAAAUGUCUACAAACCCAUUGUGGCAUUUCAAGUAGAAGCAAAUUAUAUGGUGUUUGCUCAGGAUUGAAUGAAAAACAUAUGGCACGUGAAUCCUCAUUCCUCAUUAUCCUAGCAAUCAAUACGUGAUCUCUAAUGGUCCAUGUUCAGAAUUCAGAAUUAGGCUAAGAGGAACUGUUAUUAGAAAAGAUAGCAUGGUAUGCAUUAAAAUGCCAUAAGAAAAUUAUUAAAACAUGACAACUAGAAUUCAAGGAAGUAACCAAACUAAGAAUGCUUGAAUACCUGUUUCUCCAUGAGCAUAGCAACACGCCUUGCCAUAUGCGCAGCCUCCAGUCAUCUUCCAGUUAUUGCAUAGCUUAGUUUCCACGAUGCUUGCUUUGGAACCCCCUCAUUACCAACACUCAAAGAACCAACAGAACCCUUGCAAUCCAAUUCACCAGACCCUCUAUUUUGACUGACUGGACCAGCACCAGGCACAAUGUUUAUCAUGGAAAUGUCCCGAAAUUUAUCAGGAAUCACAUGAAGAAACCGACACCUACCGCCAUAACUACAAUUUCUCCCAUUACAGAACAUUCUACAAAGUUUUUUUGAGUCAUCAGCAAACUCUUUCCACUUGGGCCCACAUUGCCUGGCCUUAAAACUACCACUGGCUACUUCUUCCAUUGCGACAAGAAUGCUUGGAUUCGCGAAAAAAUUUUCACAAAUUCUACGUUUCUUGAAUGAAGGGUAUUCAAUGAGACACGAGGUUUCGAUGUCUUUACCCUGAAUUGGAUGUUGAGGCCACCAUUGAAGCAUGGGUUCGUUGGCAUCUCUGGAAAUGUUCAUGUUGUAAUUUGAUAACAUGAAACCAACUCUGUUUCAAUGUCCGAUUUGUACAACUUUUGUUUGAGUAGUAAAAGAUAUUAAAAUCCCAAAUGGAAGACAACAAACAAAAAACCCCCAAAAUCAACCCAUGGCUUUGAUAAUUGAUUUCUGAACCACCAAAAGAAUUUAAAAGCCUAAAACCACACCAAAGCCUAACCCUUGCAAGAAGAAGCAUUUUGAGACUUCGAGCAUGAAAUGAUCAUUAGGAGAAUCAUGCAAAAUGACACCCCAAGGCUAUUUUUGUUCUUUUUUUUCUCCCUUCAAAAAGAGAAAAAAUAGGGAUUUUACCUUUUUCUUUUUCCUUUAAUGGUAACUUGCUAUUUUUUUAGAAUUUAUGGAAAUGGAAUCUAAUAAUCAUCAUUAUUCCAUAUAUUAAUUGAACAAAUUCAUAUCAAAUUGAACAAUAUAAUGAACUUAUAAGGCCCAGAACCGAAAUUUUAACAAAUUCAUAAAAGUUCUGUUUUUCACUCUAAAAGUUAUUAAAUGCUUUAGUUUAAGGAAUUCUCUUUGGAAUAAGUUUUCAUAUUUUUAAAAAAAUUACUUUAUGUGUUGCACAUGAAUUAUUUAACACGUAAUAUUAUAUUUGUUUAUGUAAAAUUUUUAAUUUUUUAAUAAUAAAAAUUAUAAAUAAAAUAAUCAUUUAUAAUGUAUAACAUAGAUAUUGCACAGAUAAUUAAUAUAAGAAAUCAUUAAACUAAAUUUGGUUUCUUUAAUUUUGAUAAUAUUCUUUUAAACUCACGUUUACUUAGAUGGUUUUUAUGUUUUAGGAAGGGGAUUUAGCAUAUUAUAUUUUUCUUUUAAUAUGAGUUUUAAAUUUUCAAUGAUUUGUAACAAUCUAUAAUCUUUUAUGAAAACAAUUUAUAAUUGAACUAAUAAUUAACAGCAGUUUGAUUGUUAUGUUUUAACUCAUUGGUAAAGUAUCAAAUAUAAUCUUUGGCCACUAGACUGGCCUUGUAAGUAUGUACGUUGACAUUCUUUUGAACCCAAUCAUUUUCCAUGUUCUUCACACAUCCUUUCUCUUCUCUCUUUCUAGUUUGUCCUACUCAAACUUAACAGACCCAAACACCAUCUCAGAUUUCUCACACUCUCUCUCCUUCUCAAACAUCGAAACCCCAAACCAUCUCACCACAUCCUCAAAUUUCAACAGCAUCAUCAUUUUCUUUUUCAAUUCUGUUAAUUAAUUGAGAUUUUUCAGUCAGAAUUGUCAAAUUUGUGGAUAUUUUGUUUGUUAGCGGUUCACUGUUAGUCAAUGAGUUUGUGGUAGUUGCAGUGGAUGGUGGCAUUGAUAAUUUCCCAUGUAUCAGUCAAGACAAUUAGCUUGCCACAGAGAGUAAGAAUAAACAUGUUGAAUGGCUAACUGAAGCAAACUUAAUAGAAACAAAUUCAGACACAGAAUACAUAUAAUCAACACAGAAAUCUCAUCAACUAAAGUAAGUAACAACCUCUGCUUUUUUCUUACUAAAACAAACAACAUUACAACAUCUUCUCCAUAUAUUUAUUGAAUGCUAAAGUUUUUAUUAGAAAGAAUUAUAAGACAGCUGCAGUACGCUUUACAUAUCAAUCAAAAAUGCAUGAAUAUAUCUCCUAUUCUCGUAACUCCUAUCUACUUUCAAAAUUUCCUAAGUAAUAACAUUCACAACAUCAAACUGUUUAAAGUAUCAUCUUCCCUAAAUGUGGCCAACAAUGACAUAAUUUCAUCAUCAACAGCAAUGUCAGGAGACUCCAAGAACUCAAGAUCAUCAUUGGCAAUAGCCACUGGAGAAUAAUCUUCACUUUGGCCAGCAGACAGCAUUGCCGAAAUACUAUCAUCAACUAAAACUUGAGAAGCCUCCAUGGAUGUGAGAGACUUGUCUGCAUCAAGAACCACUGAAGGAGAAGCUGCAAAAUGACUUGAUUCAGCUGGUGAUCCAAGGCAUUGGCUCUGAGGAAAACAGGGGCUAGCAGUAGUGAAGGUUGGUGUAGGCAAGUCCGUGGAAUUAAAGACCUCCUUAAUAACUUCCUCAUCAUCGGUCCAGUCCUCCUCUCUAAAUGGUGCUCCAUAUUGGGCACCGUUUCUAUGGCCUGGACCAUCCUUACAGAAGAUAACACAAAGAACGUAAUCAUCCUGUACAACUCCCUCGUCAAGUAGAUGUUCAUCUUCCAGUCUGUAUUCGUGCAGAACCCAAUCUGUUCGGUCUCCUCGUGGGGCUUUCCCUCUGUGGAAGACCAAAGUUCUAAUACUCCCCACAACUUUGUCAUUGUAACGAACAGGUCUGUCUUUCCCAGUGGUCUUCCAAUACCCAUAGGCAGUGGCACGAUUGAACCUACUCCCUUUUCCAUAUUUCUUCUUCAUUGGACAGAAAAAGUACCACUUGAGAUCCCCAAUCCUUAAAAGAGACUUGUGCGGCAGAUCCCAAGGAGCAUACUUGUAUAUGUCAACCUCGGCAAUAGCUUCAAAAGAAAACUUCUUCCCCAAAACCUUCCUCCUCAGAUAGUAUUGAAGAAGCUCAACGUCGGUGGGAUGAAACCGAAAUCCAGGAGCCAGUGAAUUUUUCUCCAUUGAACAAAAAAUAUAUGUCCCACAGUGACCAAUGACGAUGAUAUGUACUCUCGCGUAGUGAAUAAACCCUGUUUGGAACGUAUCAGAAAACUCAGUAUCAAACAAGAAAGGAAGCUUAAACAAAACCCUUAAGUGGUAGGAAAGAAAAUGAGAGCUGAAACAGACAAGAAACCAACAAUCAAAACAAAUAAAUCCCUAAAUUCAAAAUCAAGAAACCCUAAGAAUCAGACCAACAAUGAAGAAAUUGCAAAGUAGAAACAGCAAGUGACGAAGACAACUUACCGAAAGAGAAGAAGGCAAUUGAGGAGCGAAACUGAGGAAUAGAAAUUGAGAGAGUGAGCUGAAAAUUAGAGUUAGAAGAAAGGAAGAAGACUCCCUCUCGUUUAUAUACGCGCCAACAGCUAACCGCCUUAUGGAACUAGCCGUUGCCCCUUAAUUUUCCUUUUUCUUUUCUUUUUUUUUUAAUUUUAACUUUUAAGCCUGAAGAAAUUUAAUUAUUCAAUUCAUGACAUAUAUGAAAGGAUUAAAAUUUCUUACCCAAGUGAUAAGAUACUUGUCAUUUUCUGUUAGAAUAGUCAUAUUUAUUCAUUUUUUAAAACUUUUUAUUAUAAAUAUUUUUAUCAUCAAUGUUAUUAAAAUUUAUCUAAUUUUUAAAUUAAUAAAAAUUUUAAUUACAUCAAAUGACUCUCAUCAAAAAUAUUUUUAUCAUAAAUAUUUUUUUUGAAUUUUAACUUUUAAGCCUUCAGGAAUUUAAUUACUUAAUUAUUGACAUUUUAAUAAUUUAAUAAUUAUUCAAUUAAUGAAAUUUUGAUAAUUUAAUAAUUAGUAAAUUUAUGAAACCAUUCUAUUCUAUUUUUGUAAGAAAUAAGUCCAUAAAACAACCCAUAAACUUUUAUUGGCUAAGUUUCUCUCUUUUUCUUUUUUUCCCCUUCCUCUCCGUUUAUGAAACGAUUUUGUUCUAUUUCUUAACAGGAUAAUCUAUAAUCUGUCUACAUCUCCUUCCCCCAAGUCCAAAAAAUAAAAAUAAAAAUCUAUCUACAAUUUAUAAUAUAUAUGUAAUUACAAGAUUUUGAAAAAAAAAAUUUAUUAACAAAAGUAAUCAUAUUUAUUCAUUAUAUUUUUAAAAUUUUCAUUUUAAAUAUUUUUGUCAUUAAUAUUAUUAAAAUUUAUCUAAUUCUUAAAAAUAUAUAUAUUCUACUUAAAUCAAAUGACUUUCAUUAAAAUAUUUUUUAUUAAAAAUAUGAAUCAAACUUAUCUAAUUUUGUAAAUAAGAAUUUUAAUUAUAUUAAAUGAAUUUCAUUAAAAAAUGUUAGUUUAGGUCUAAUAUUUUUAAAUAAUUAUAUUAUAGUAAAUUAUCUUUUAUUUAUAAAAAAUUAAAUUUAUAUUUUUAUAUAGAGUUAUUAUUCAAAAAUAAAUAAAAAAUAAAUAGAUAUGUGUAAUAAAUGCUAGCAAUAUAGGUCUUUUAACACAAAUGUCGCGCCAACGGGCAACACCAUGUCCGUUUAAGCACAUAACACAUUUUUGUUUCCCAGCAAUGGCUUUCAGUGUAAAGCAAGCAAUUUCAUAUUACCUAUAACAUAUCAUACGUACAAACAAUACAAGUCCUACCUUUAAAUCCAACCACUGCACUGUCAUGAAUUUAAAAGUGGAAAUUCGUGGAGGCUAGGUAGCUUCAAUCGAUUGCUUUGUUCACCUCAAACAUUUCAAUCGAUUAAUUCGUUCGUCUCGAAAAUAAGAGAGUUUGGAUUCAAACACCUGCAGCCCCUUGUUAGUGCUAUCCAAAAUGUAAGCUAAGUGGAAACACUGCACAUCUGCACCUCAACCUAGAGGUUGGAGUAGUCUAUCUGCCCUCAAAAUUUUAAAAAAAAAAUAAAACAGUGAAAAUCCAAAAGCAGAUUGUCAUAGAAGUUCUCGAGUUGCAAUUUCCAAUUACUUCAAAGCAGUUCCAAGACUAUGAAUUUUUAUCAACACUAAAUUUGCAUAGAAGCCUCAAGUACUGCAAUGCCGGAGGCAUGUGUAUUCGUUCCAGUAAUAAUGGUUAAUAACACAAAGCAUACAUCUGUCACAAACUAUAAGCACAACCAUAAAAUCUACUGGAGCUUCUUUAUCCCGGGGAAAGAAGGGAGAAGUGCAAUAAGUGCGUCACCAUAUCCUACUGGAUCUGUCACGUUAAGCAAAAUAAAUAAGAAUAAAUAAAUGACCAGGUGAUACUGCAAAACAUUGCAAACUGAAAAUUACUGAAAGCGGACAAGACAUACCACCAUCGUCUCUUAGAAUUUUGAUGACCUCCCCAGAUACGUCAGACUGGUAAAGGAAUUUAUUAGAAUGAGAAAAUAAAAUCUAGAUUGUUUGAUCAUAUAAACAUAAGUGAAUAGUAAGUAGCAAGACACUAGCAGGGUGAAAUCAACCCUCUUUUCCACCGGUCAACAUACAAUGACACAUAAUAAUUCCCCAUAAAAUCAAGAUCAUACCUCAAUUGGAAUUUCACCACCUAGUUGUUCAAUGUAGCAAAGCACUUGGCCCUCCUUCACUGUUUGUUUCUGUUGCAUAAACAAAAAUGUUACCAGCAGGGGUUGAUCCGUUUGUUAUGGAAACCAAAUCAGAAUAUCUUAACAGAACCUCAAACAUAUGGAAAGCAAAACAGCAUUUGAGAGUACAAGGGAACCAAUGGGAUACAAUAGGCUUCAUAAUCAAUGGUUUCACAUAUGUGUUUGUCUGGUGAAGAUCAGACUUUGAAAAAAACAAAGAAACAGUAAAACCUCUUCAAUGAUAUUGCCCAAUUGAAAAACAGUGUCUCUUAGUAGUGGUGAUCAAAGCAAUCUAUUAUUUUGGCCCUUAAAAUAAACAAAUACACCAACCCAAAUCUAUUGAAUUAGUACCUCUUUACACGAUGGUGGAGCACGCUUCCCCUUUAUGGUUCGAGAUCUCCUGAAAAAACCUACCUGAACAAUUUAUCAUCUUAGUGUUACGAGUUCAAACAAGAGAAGCCUUUAAAUUUCAGGUCCUCACCUUUGGAGACUGAAGUAUCACCAAACCUUCAUCUGCAGCUUUAUCAAGUAACAAUUGGAUUCUCCCAGAAGAAGAAAGUGGUUUGGUGAUAGCUAAAGUAGGUGUAGAAACAGACCCAUUUGAGUCAGGUGCUUCAACAGUUUUACUGGUGCUAACACUGACAGGAGGGGGACUUGGUAUGGCAGGUGGAGGUUCACUUUUUCCUGCUAAGUCCCUCAUUAUAUAUAGCCGAAAUCCACCAAGCUAACAAAUGGAGAAAAAGCAGAAGGCUUAAAAUUUUGAUAAUACAGAAAAGAUCACAUCUGCAAUCCCUUCAUAUACAGAACUAAAUAAUGCAAAUAGAAAAACUAUUCAAGUUAUCGAAAACUUUACAAGACAAGAAUUCAAAGCCACUUACUUUUAGUUCAAACUCUGCAACUGAAGUCGUAUCGCAUAUAUCUCUUACCAGAGAUUCCACCUGCAGUUAGAAAUUGCAAACAACCAACUUCUAAGAAAUAAGCUAAAAGUAUGUUUGUUCAUAUAUUUAUUAAAAGAAGUCCAUAUGCAGGCAAUAUUGAAUUAUUUAUAAAAAUUCAAAUUAUGAGUACAUAAAAAAAAAACAAAUCAAUUGCUCCAUUUUCUCUAAUUUCUAUCUAAAGUUUGUUCACAGCUGCUUAAAACAUAGUUAAAACAGCUAUGCAGGAAUUAGUUCAUCAACUAACCAGUAAACUUCAAAGAUCUAUGGGUCAAAGUAUUCUUAUUUUAUAGGCAAAAAGAAAUAGCAAUGAUAAAUUUUGUGUAACAUAUGUGCUUGCAUUAAUGAUUUAAAUGAACAAUUAUAUGAACUCACCCCAGAUGAAUUUGGAAUAAGCUGGCUAGUCAAACCAGACAUUUUAGUCUCUUCAAAAUCAUCUGCUAAAUUUGUAGUAGCUGCAAGUCAGAAACCAAAAAGAUUUAGAUAUAAGCUAUGGAUUGACAGAAACAAAUAAGACUCUGCUCCUAAUCUUCAACUUUCACACAUUAUAUAUAAAUUGAAAACAAAGCAAGAAAUUGCAUAUAAUCACAUUCUCAAAAACCCAAUUUAGUUUAUUAAAAUCAAAAGCAAAAACAAAGAUGAUGGUGAGACUUCAAAUAUUCAAAUUUACAAGACUUUAAUCGAUGGGGUAUUUCCUUUCCAAGUAUGACCAUUGGUUACCCUGAGAUAAGCCAGCAAAUAAAGUGAAAAAAGACCAGAAACAAUCUGGAAAAAGAUAUUUUCUCCCAAUGAGUAGCAUGUGCAUCAACCUUAAAGAAAUUGGAUUAUGCAGUUGAGAGGCAAAUAGAUUGCACCAUUAUAUGAAAUUAUUACUAAGACAAACAUGCUUCAACAGUUACAAGGGUUCUUUUCUUUCCCUCCUUACCCCAGGGUAUUUCAUUUCCUACUUCUAUUUUUCUCCCAAAUCCUCACAGCACAGUGACAGUUGACUGACUCUAAAUUGCAGAGACACUAGAGACUGAUCCCUAUUUCAACAAAUUUGAGUGGAAAAUAGAACCAGAAAAAAGAGAUGAAGUGAAUAUUAUCAACUUGAGCCAUAGAGACUGUCAUUCAAUCGCAGUAUUCAGCUCAAAAGUAAAUAAACAAAAAACUACUUUUAUAUUUAUGUACUACUGCACUGUGUGAGUGUGUGUAUCCAUUUGUUAGAGACAUGCACACACUACUGUGCAUAAAUAGAUAAAUAUACGAGUCAUGUACCAAAGAAAUAUCAAAGACAUUAAGGAAAGAUUAGUCUAUAAAGUAAUCUAAGGGUAAAAGUCUACUAAAUCUGAAAUGAGCAGAAGAAUAUAGAAUAUGUCUUCAUGAGACUGCUAUAAUGUGAAAUGUAUUUCUUUAAGAAUCAGAAGAACAUUUAUCAUGGACACAAUAGUUCGUUGUCUGAACUUGCUAUACCACAAUAUCUUACUGCACAAUGCGUAAAGAAGAUCGAGCACAUAUCAUUGUAUUUAUCCCUUGACAUUGAUAUGCAAUAAUUGAUCUUGACUGGAUAAUUGACUGGAAAUAAGAAAAUUUAAAGUGAGUUGUAUCAGCAAAAAGCACUUACCCAGGGUUUGCAAAGUUGGACCACAACCAAUGUUGAAUGUCUUUUCUGAGCGUCUAACCAGGCCAGCAUAUUGCAUUGUUCUUUUCCUUGUCCAUAUUCUUACAUUAUUCAGUUUUGAAUUAUCAACUCUUGCUUUUCCAAAGCUCAACUUUGGAACUUUAAUAUUUGGAGCUCCUAUGCCACCUGUAGUAAGAGAAAGUUACCCAUGACUAAAGCACAUUAUCUGAAACACACACACACAUUCCUAAAUUGAUGAUAAAAUGAUUAAUUGCUUAAAAACUUUAUUAAGUGUUUUUUUUUUAAAAAAAGGGCUGUGUCAAAAACUUUAUUGAGUCUAUGGGAAAGAAAUCAGAGCAGUCAUGUCAGAUUAACAAUGAGUCCAAAACAAAGUUCUGGAAUUUAAGAAUAUGAAUGCACACAUAAAAAUCAAUAUUCAACAACUUGAAAAUGAAAAAGAGAAGUACAAGGAUAAAAAAGCAUUAUAAUAAUUUUUCAAAUUCUCUACUACAACAAUCAAUAUACUAACUUUUCAUUUUCCAAAAUGUUAAAGAAAGAUAUGCCAAUGAUGAAUAAAGUAUGAAGCAUCUAUCAUGUAUGACGCAUUUCUAAGGUCUGAUCUAUGGGUUACAACUCAAUGCAAAGAAUGAAAGGCACCAGUUUUUACACACAACACAUCUAAUGGCACUGUAAGGUUUGCAUUUUGUAAUGUAAGUAAAGAUAAAUUACAAUACUGCAACCAAUUUCAUAGUUUUAUCUGUCAACAUGUGGUGGCGAAACAGUAGCUAUUGAACAUGUUGGGUUCACCCUGCCUGGGGUGUGCAUGUCAGAAUCAAAGUACAAAAGUAAAAAUAGACAGGUUUCUCCACACUGCAUAAGAGUAUGCAUCUAUUUUUGUUGCCUGCAACCGAUAGAAGAUGCUAAUUCGAGUCUUACAACAGUGCAUGCAUCACAAGAUGCACGUGAGCCAAAACCCUCUGAAGAGAGAAGAAAGACUAUAGAAAUUAGAAGCUUUACAUUUGUCCCAAAAGUUGAGACAACAGAACAUGGUAGAUGAACUCAGCUUCUAUAAAUGUCUAAUGCUAUUGCUAUGAUAAAUUGUACCAUCUAAUGUAUCUACAUACUGCAUCAGAAGACAACAAUUAGAUUGACCUUCUCUACAACAAUUACUUAACAUUUAGAGUCUAUAAAAAGAGAAAAAAGAAAAAGAAAAGACAAGUGGAUACACAUAUGUCAGUCUUUUCAAUAAAACUUAGACAUGGGUUAUAAAUUUAAUGAAAUUGGCAAGAAAAGAUUACAUUAAAUGUUAUCGCACUGAUAUCAAGAAUGAAACAGCAACACCAUAAAUUAUACAGCAGACAAAACCACAAGUGAAAUCAUAACUUUUAAAAAAGUUCUAAGGCUAGCUACACCAACAAGGAUGAGAACACUGUUCCAUCCAAAUUAUGCAUUAACACUAUUUUAUAAGAAUAAUCGUACAGAAUGCGCCACCUAUGUUUACCUAAGCAAGUUUUUUGUUUAGUAAGUUUUGGGGUUUUUUCCUUUUAAAGAGAGUCUAGAAUAAGUAACAGCCAGAAUUCCAAUAAUCAUACUAAACCAGAGCCAAAGUGAAGAUUUUGUAAUCAGAGCCAAAUAAAGAAGGUUGAAACUAAUAUGCAUGCUAAAAUCACAAAAUCCAAUUCAGAUUGCAAUCAAUAUUGGAUUUUGACAAUAUGAGGAACCAACAGGGAAAGCACAACUGACAACACACUAACAAUCUACAGCUUUACCACAAUGCUUAUGCAUUUAAGGAACAAAACCCUAUUCCAAGGGAUCCCAGUCUCUCAACAAAACAAAAAACAAACAUACCAAAUAACCCUUCCCCCUCUAUGCAACUAAUUCAAGAACCAAGCCACGAAACAAAGUAAAAUCUAGCAUCUUUACACACCCAAACUUCAAAAUAACCAAAAACCCAUACAAAAUCUUAACCUACUUAACCUCAAAAAAUACAUAGAAGGUUAGAAAAAGAAAGUGAGAUACUCACAUGAAGCCAUGGAAAAGCACAGAAUAUUUUAUUUUUCUUUCCGAGGACCAAAUUGAAGAACUCUGAAGAAUAUGAAGAACACCAAGGAAAGAGUGGAAGAGAAAAGCAAAUGAAAAAACGUGUGGGUAAAUGGGAAUGGCCUGUCAAACGUUAAACCCCAUGAAGGAAAUUUCAGCAGCACGUUUCCAGAGUAACUAAAACAGAACAGCAGAGGCCACUAGAACCAGAAACAGUGAGACACCCGUUACCAGACUUCCUUGGCAACUCCACUUAGCCAAAGGACGUGAAUAAAGCCAAGUACAGAAUCAUACAGCUGGAAUGUGUUUUUUCUUUUUUUUAUUAGAAGAAAAUUGGACAUUUCUCUUGUUUGGAAAAAAUAUUAUAUCAUUUCUAAAAUUAGAUAAAAAUACAUUUAUAUAAAAAAUGAUGCUAUAUGUGAAAAAAAUAAUGUUAAAUAAAAAUAUAAUUACUAUUUCAAGGAUAUAAAAAGGAUUUUUCAAACAAAUAAGAUAAAAUCUAUUUUGCCUAAACUUGCAAGAGCUUUUUGUAUUUUAGCUUUGAUUUUUUUUUUAUGUUUCUAAGUUUAUGAUUAGAUAUGGAAAGGGUCCAAAAAAUUCCUUUAUAGUCCUUUUAUGAUGACGGAUUUAACUAAAAAAUUGGAAAGCAUUUUCUUCCACCAUCCUAUUGGCCCAUGCCGAUAGAAUAAAAUUUUUUUUUUAUGAAAGUCAUAUAAUGUAAUUAAAAUUCUUAUUUACAAAGUGAAUAAAUUUUAUUAAUAUUUAUAUUUAAAAAUAAUUUUAAUGAAUAUCAUUCUAUACAUAUAGAAUUUUUAUAUAUUUAUAAACAAAAUAAAUUUUAUUAGUAUUUAUAAUAAAAAAUUAUUAAAAUGAUAAUUUAAAAAUAUAAUGAACAAAUAUAAUCGUCUUCAUUAAUAAUUAAAUUUUCAACAAUCAUACUUUAUAUUAUUUAUAAAUUAUUAGAUAAUAAGGUAAACCAUAAUGAAUUUUUUGAAAAUUACUUACCAUUACCAUCAAUUGUUGUGUUCCCUACAAGUAAUAUAUGUAAAUGCAUGACAUGAUGAUAAGUUUUUUAAAUGUAAUGUGUGUGGAUAUAUAUAUAUAUAUAUAUAUUCAAUGUAUUUUGAAUUAUCAUUCUUAUUUUUAUGACCCAUAAAUUUCAUUUUAAAUAAUAAAAUCUUAUUUGGUUGGACUUUCACAAAUGAAGAAGAUAUUGCAAAUCAAUUAGACAAUGAUUGAGUGACAGAUCGCUCUCAAUUUGAAAACCAUUGGGUAGCUUUGCUUCGUCUUUGGUACUUAAUUUUUAUUGAUAAAUAAUUGCACCUUCACCGAUUAAAAAACUUUUUAAUUCAAUUUUUUUUUUAGUUAUAAUUGAGAUAAGAAUCCUAGUGAUGAGAUUAUUUUUCUUUAAAAUUAAUCUAUUUCUAUUUCUAAAUGAAUGCCCUAAAAUCACUUAUAAACUAAAAUCUCAUUUAUUUAUUAGUUGUGGAUCAUGAAAUUCUAUUUAUUGGCUAUCAAACGUGCAAGUCUCCUAUCGAGGAAGGUUGCCUAACUCACCUUCUAAGUGCGGAGAACCCAAGACGAGCCUGGGACGUUGUUUCUUAGACAGCUUGACAAGUUGAGGGAGUCCUUAGACAAUUACUUGACUCAUGGGCCUUUUUUAUGGUAAUUUUUGGACAAUAUUUUGUUAUCCAGUCCAUGUAUGGGGAAGGCCCAAAUGCUAUCAAAGUAAUUGUUUAGCUCGUCAUCCCUAAGCCAACAAGCAAAUGUGAACAAAACAGCAGAGCAGAUACCAUUCUGGUUGCUUAUUGGUGAUCCAAUUAUUUUUUGCACAUAUGAGGAGCAAUGGUGAAUUUACGAUUUUACAUAAAGAGUAAUUACAAAAUAAUUAUAAUAAUAUUAUAUAUAAAAUUUUAUACAUAUAAUAAUAAGAAUAACAAUUAAAAAUUGAGAGGUGACGGUCAUCACCAUCUGUCACUACCUUGACUCUCAUCCUAGAGGUAAAAAGGUAACAACUGAUAAGUCAAAGUUUUAGUUGCUAGGUGAUCAAACUAUAGUAGUAUAUUCUUGUUUUCAUAUAAUUUAGUUUGCAAAUCCAUUCAAAAUAUGUUUCUCAAGGGUUUGAAAAUUAAGGGGGCAGGUUACUACUUUGCUGUUGUUGAUCCUAUUAACUUUUACAAGAUUAUGGUUUUGGAAGUGUAUAUUAUUUGUUGUUUCAAGACGUCAUUAGUACAAGCUAGGUGCCAUUUGGUAGCAUAAAUAGUCAAAGAAUUUCCUCAUAUAAAUCUUUUAUAAUUAUAUCCUUAGUAGGGUAUUAUUCAUCAUAAAAAAUAUAGGGUACAGUAUCAUAUAUAUAUAUAUAUAUAUAUAUAUUAUAUUCAUUUAAUUUUUUUGCUAAACUUAAAUAUUUAUGAAGUGAUCGAUAAGUUAAAAAAACUAUCAAGCAAACUCAAUAAAAUACAAAAAAAAAAAAAACCGAUAAAAACCGUCUAAACGUAAAACUAGAGAGCCAACAUCAACAAACAAACUAAAAUACAAAGAUGAAGCAGAAAACAUUAAUGUUCUCAUUCCACGCCACUGCUCUCGUUCAAAACUAUCAUCAAACAUAAAAUAUCUCUAGUCUGUCAAUACCGAACUUGACUAAAGAAUCCUAGAAAAAAAUUAGGUUCUAGAUUAACAUAUGCAGGAAUGUAAUUAGUCUUCCUUAGCCUGUCAAUUUCACUAAAACAAUCAAAAAAAUAAAUUUCCCAAACUAUAAGAAGAUAAAGAGAAGACAUGAAAAACAGUUUUAACUGCCAUUAGCUCUACAUAAUUCGAUUCUUGGACAUCUAAUAAUCCCAGAAAAAAAAUGUUAGGAAAUUGCAGAAUUGUCUCUAAAGAAUUACCCAAGAUCUAACCCAAUCAAUAGAAUAAAGAAAGAAAGAAAUCAAACACACCCACAAGAACAUAAGAAUUUACGUGGUUCGGUCUUUUUAUGACCUACGUCCACGGGCACAGCAAUAGAGAAAAAUUCACUAAGAGAAAAAUCAAGAAAUUACAAGAACAGUCUCAAACUCAUAACCCUUAUCCCACGUACACCUAAAUCACUCUCUCUAAAUCUAGGUGAUCCACUAUUCUUUAACUCAUAGAGUCAUUUUAUAGUGCCAAAUACAAUAACCUUAUCCUAAUAUAAUUAGGAAUCUUAUCCUAAUAGAAUUAGGAAUUGUUAUUCUAGUCUAACUAGAUUUAAAGACUAUUUUAUAAGGUAUACUAAUUUAAUUAGAAUUAAACAAUCCUAAUUAAAUCACAAUUCAAGACUAUCCUAACAAAUCUCCACCUUAGGCUUGAAUUCACCAAGCUCCACCUUACGAACCAAUCUCUGUCGACACCGCCACUGCCCCAAUGGGCCUCAAGCACUACGAACACCGAUCAAGUCCAAGCAAUGCUUGAACUUUAUCCCAGAAACUGACUUAGUUAGCAUAUCUGCCGGAUUUUCAUCUGUAGCUAUUUUCUUUACUACAAUCUCACCUUUAGAAAUAAUCUCUCGAACGAAGUUACAUUUGACUUGGAUGUGUUUGGUUUUCUCAUGGAACAUUUGAUUUUUAGUCAAGUUUAUGACACUUUGACUAUCACAAAACACAACUGUUUGUGUUUGUUCAAAACCCAGAUCACUAACCAAGCCUUUAAGCCAUAAAGCCUCCUUCACUGCCUCGGUCACAGCCAUAUAUUCGGCUUCAGUUGUAGACAAAGCAACGGUUGAUUGAAGAACUGCUUUCCAACUGAUUGCAGACCCUGAGAGAGUGAACACAUACCCCGUUUGAGAUCUUCUACUAUCUAGGUCACCAGCAAAAUCUGAAUCGGAGAAGCCAACCACAUUACAACUAGUGUUUGCACCUCCUUCAUAUACUAAGCCAAUAUCUAUAGUGCCUUUUAAAUAUCGAAAGAUCCACUUCACAGCUUGCCAAUGUCAUUUUCCUGGUUUAUCCAUGAAUCUACUAACCAUACUAACAGCAUGUGAAAUAUCAGGCCCAGUACAUACCAUAGCAUACAUAAUGCUACCCACUGCAUUAGCAUAAGGAACACGAGUCAUGUACUCCUUCUCAUCCUCCGUUUGUGGUGAUAAACCAGUUGAAAGUUUUAGGUGUAGUCCCAAUGGAGUAGUCACAGACUUAGCAUCUUGCAUUCCAAAACGUUCUAGUACCUUUUGAAUGUAUUUCUUUUGUGACAAACAUAAUCUCGAUGCUCGUCUAUCUCUGACAAUUUCCAUACCCAAUAUUUUCUUUGCAUCACCUAAGUCUUUCAUCUCAAACUCACCACUAAGCUGCUCCUUUAAAACAUCAAUGUCUGACAUACUUUUGGCGGCAAUAAGCAUGUCAUCCACAUACAACAACAAAUAGAUAAACGAAUCAUCUGGAAGCCUUUUAUAAUAGACACAACCAUCAUGUACACUUUUAGUGUACCCUUGUGCCUCCAUGAACAUAUCAAACCUUUUAUACCAUUGCCUAGGAGAUUGUUUUAGGCCAUAUAAUGACUUUUUAAGUAAGCAUACACAAUCUUCCAUACCUGGAACAACGAAUCCCUCAGGUUGUUGCAUGUAGAUCCGCUCUUCAAACUCACCAUGUAAAAACGCUGUUUUGACAUCAAGUUGCUCCAACUCAAAGUUAAAAUAUGCCACUAUAGCAAGCAACACGCGGAUUGAACUAUGCCUCACGACAGGAGAGAAUACUUCAUUAUAGUCAAUUCCCUCUCUUUGUGCAUACCCUUUUGCCACAAGUCGUGCUUUAAAUCUAGCAUUUUCAACCCCUAGGAUCCUUUCCUUUUUCUUGAAGACCCAUUUGUAUCCCACAACUUUUUGGCCUUUAGGUGGUUUCAGAAGCUCCCAUGUUUGAUUUCGAUGUAAAGACUUAAUAUCCUCAUUCAUAGUAGUUAGCCACUAAGAAGAUUGAAUAAAAGUAAUUGCUUCAUGAUAAGAGUAAGGCUCAUUAGUCUCUACUUCUUCCGCCACAGAUAAAACAUAAGAAUCAAAAUCACGCUCCACACAAGUAACAAAAUCAUCAAACUUCUGAGGAGCUUUUGAAAUCCUUCUAGAUCUGUUUGUAGCAAUGCUUCGUUGUUGUAUAUGAGAUACUGAUUCUUGUUCCUCUUGUGAUUCAUUUUGUAUUUCACUAUCAUCUUACACUGUCCCAAGAGCAUUGAUUUCAAGCUCCACCUGCUUGUCCACUUCUUGGUCUGAUGAGAUUACAAUUCUAGACUUUAUCCCAUGAAGUAAUGCAGACUCGUCAAAGGUAACAUCCUGACUUAACAUAAACUUGGGGGAUUUCGGAUCAGUACACCACAGUCGAUAACCUUUUACCCCAGAUGCAUAGCCUAGGAAUAUGCACUUCUUUGCCCUCGGCUCAAGCUUACCAUCAUUUACAUGAGCAUAAGCAGGACAACCAAAUACUCUCAAUAUAGAGUAAUCAGCGGGUUUACCUGACCAAACUUCCUCGGGAGUCUUUAAUUCAAUUGCAGUUGAUGGAGACCGAUUUACCAAGUAGCAAGCCAUGUUGAUAGCUUCUGUCCAGAAUACUUUAGAUAAACCAGCAUUAGAAAGCAUGCAUCUUGCUCUUUCAACAAGUGUUCUAUUCAUCCGUUCUGCAAUACCGUUUUGUUGUGGUGUUUUGAUGACAGUGCGAUGUCUAAUGAUUUCCUCAUUCUUGCAGAAUAGAUCAAACUCACAUUUGUAAAAUUCCAAACCGUUAUCUGUUCGAAAGCGCUUGAUCCUUUUCCCUGUCUGCUUCUCGAUCAAUGCCUUCCAUUGCAAAAAGGUGGUAAACACUUCACUUUUAGCCUUCAGAAAAUACGUCCAUACUUUUCUUGAAAAAUCAUCAAUAAAUGUUAACAUGUAUAAUGAUCCACCUUUUGAAGCCACAGGAGAAGGACUCCAUAAAUCUGAGUGGAUGUAGUCUACUGUACUCUUUAUUCGAUGUGUAGCAAUGCUAAAUUUCACUCAGUGUUAUUUGCCAUAGAUGCAAUGUUCACAGAAAUCUAUCUUCCCAGUCUUUUGACCACAUAGUAAACCACGCUUACUCAAUUCUGUCAUUCUUUUCUCACUCAUAUGACCUAAUCUCAUAUGCCAUAAACGUGUAACAUCAUCAUCAGGAUCAUGGGAUGAGACAACAGAAGUAGUUCCAAUAAUCGUACUUCCCACUAGACGAUAAAAGCCACCGGAUAACUUACCUUUCAUGAUAGUUAAUGCUCCUUUAGAUACCUUCAAGACACCAUCUUGGCCACUAUAUUUGCAACCCUUCUUAUCUAACAAACUCAAGGAUAUCAAAUUCUUUUUCAUGUUAGGUACAUGUUUCACCUCAAGUGCCCUUACUAUACCAUCAAAUCAUCUUGAUUCAAUUGUGCCAAUUCCACCAACUGAGAGAGAGAAAUCAUCUCCUAAUUGUACAGUGCCCAUAUCAAUAGAUUGAUAAGUUGUAAACCAAUCACGCCUAGGACAUAUGUGGAAGCAACAAGCAGAAUCUAAGAUCCAUGUAUCCUUAAAGUUACCAUUAGUAACUGCAGGAACAUUAUCAGCUUCCUCAAAAGUAUCAAAAUCAACUUCAACUACGUUUGCAGUAUUUUCAGACUUAUUGAUCUUUUCAUCGCCCUUGAAUUUAGUACAGUCUUGAUGAAAGUGACCUUUUUUACCACAGUUCCAAUAAGUCUUUCCUCUUGAUCUAGAUUUGGAUCUAGAUUUACCUUUUCUGUCUAAGCCCUUCUCUUUACCUCUACCUCUAUUUACAACCAAACCUUCUGCUUGAUUUUCAUUCCGAAUACCACCAACUUUCUUCUUUAAUUCCUUGGAAUUUAAAGAUGCCCUUACAUCCUCGAGAGUGAGAGUGUCUCGGCCGUAUAGUAUAGUAUCCACGAAGUUUUCAUACGAAGGAGGCAAAGAACAUAAAAGAAUUAAGGCUAAGUUCUUCAUUCUCAAUUUUAACAUCGAUAUUCCUUAAAUCAAGAAUAACUCUAUUAAAUUCAUCAAUGUGGGUAUUAACGGACGUACCUUCACUCAUUUUGAGAGUAUACAAUCGUUGCUUCAUAUAAGGCCGAUUCGUCAGGGACUUGGUCAUAUAAAUACUUUUGAGUUUAAACCACACUGCAGCAGCAGAUUCUUCAUCCGUGACUUCUCUUAGCACCUCAUCAGACAAAGCAAGGAGAAUAACACUAUGUGCUUUUUCCAUAAGGUCAUCUUUCUCACUAUCAGAUAAAUUCGAGGGAAGAUGUUCUUUUCCCUUCAGUGCCUUCAACAGUCCUUGUUGCACUAGCAAUGCGUGCAUCUUAACACGCCACAGACUGAAAUUGUUUCUUCUAUUAAACUUUUCAAUCUCAUACUUGGUGGACGAAGUUGCCAUAGCGAGAUUCAGAUUAACCCAAGACCUUGAAGCUCUGAUUCCAGUUUGUUGGGAAAUUGCGGGAUUGUCUCUAAAGAAUUGCCCAAGACCUAACCCAAUCAAUAGAAUAAAGAAAGAAAGAAAUCAAGCACAACCACAAGAAUACAAGAAUUUACGUGGUUCGACCUUUUGAUGACCUACGUCCACGGGCACAACAACAGAGAAAAAUUCACUAAGAGAAAAAUCAGGAGAUUACAAGAACAGUCUCAAACUCAUAACCCUUAUCCCACGUACACCUAAAUCACUCUCUCUAAAUCUAGGUGAUAAUUAUUCUUUAACCCAUAGGGUCCUUUUAUAGUNNNNNNNNNNNNNNNNNNNNNNNNNNNNNNNNNNNNNNNNNNNNNNNNNNNNNNNNNNNNNNNNNNNNNNNNNNNNNNNNNNNNNNNNNNNNNNNNNNNNNNNNNNNNNNNNNNNNNNNNNNNNNNNNNNNNNNNNNNNNNNNNNNNNNNNNNNNNNNNNNNNNNNNNNNNNNNNNNNNNNNNNNNNNNNNNNNNNNNNNNNNNNNNNNNNNNNNNNNNNNNNNNNNNNNNNNNNNNNNNNNNNNNNNNNNNNNNNNNNNNNNNNNNNNNNNNNNNNNNNNNNNNNNNNNNNNNNNNNNNNNNNNNNNNNNNNNNNNNNNNNNNNNNNNNNNNNNNNNNNNNNNNNNNNNNNNNNNNNNNNNNNNNNNNNNNNNNNNNNNNNNNNNNNNNNNNNNNNNNNNNNNNNNNNNNNNNNNNNNNNNNNNNNNNNNNNNNNNNNNNNNNNNNNNNNNNNNNNNNNNNNNNNNNNNNNNNNNNNNNNNNNNNNNNNNNNNNNNNNNNNNNNNNNNNNNNNNNNNNNNNNNNNNNNNNNNNNNNAUUACCAAUUAUUAAUAUUUAAAAAAUAAAAUAAAAAAUUAGUCAUAAUAAUAUUUAAAUUAAAUAAAAUAUUAAUAUUUAAAUUAUCUAUUAUUAAUAUUUUAACUAAAUAAUCAAUUAUUAAUUUUCAAAAAUAAAAUAAAAUAAAAUAAUUGAUCAUCAUAAUAUUUAAAUUAAAUAAAAUAUUAAUAUUUUACAAUAUAAAUAAUUAAAUUAUAAAUAAAUAUUAAUAUUGAAAUUAUCAAUUAUUAAUAUUUUAAAUAAAUUAUCAAUUAUUAAUAUUUUAAAAAUAAAAUAAAAUAAAAAUUAAUCAUAAUAAUAUUUAAAUUAAAUAAAUAUUAAUAUUUAAAUUAUUAAUUAUUAAUAUUUUAAUUAAAUUCUAGAUUAUUAAUAUUUAAAAAAUCUAAUAAAAAUAAAAUGUCAUAUAAAUAAUAAAGAGUGUUUUUGUCUUUUUUUUUUCUAUUCCUUUCUUAUUCUAAAAUUAUUGUUACCAACCAAACACUACAAUAAGUCAUAAUAAUUAUUCUUACCCUAUUCCCUUUGUCAUACCAAACUAAGUAAUAACUAUCUUAUUCUAUUCCUACCUCAUUCUAUUCUCACAUAACAACUAUUCUAUUCAAUUCCUAUCUAUUCCGCCAACCAAACGUACCAUUAAAGUUCCUCCACAACCCGAAUGUCCUGAUAUCAUAUGAUGGUCUUAUCUCGUGAUUUUUUUGGGGAUAAUGUAAUAAUAAAAGGGGUAUGGUGCACCUGCCUGCCAGCAACUAGGAGAACAUCCUGGGCCCAAACUAGCUCCUAAGAUUACCUUGUAAACUAGCCAGAAUAGGACAUUUGAAUAUAACAUAAAGAUAGCUGGAAAGGAAGACAAGAAUCUUUGCUUAAAGCAUUGCAUAUAUAAAUGUUAGUAGUAACUAGUGUUGUCGUGUUGGAAGAGACGUUCAUGAAUAGAUUGUUGCUUUUGAAUCCACGACAUGUAAACUUUCUGAGAUACCAUAGGUCAAUAAAGGGGAUCCAAUGUAAUUUUAUGUUUUGAAUAUACUUACUUCGCUUUUGCAUGAUAACAACUCCUGAAUACAUUAAAAAACUCUCUUAUUCUCUUUUUUUUUUUUAAUUUAAAAAAAAAAUUCAAACUUUACUUUUUGUGUAACUGAUUAUGUAUUAAUUAUUAAAUCAAAUAUUCAGGUAAUUUUAUUCUCAUAUCAUAUAUUAAAAAAAUGAGCAUUUUAACAUUUGACACCUAGAUUAUAUGAGGAACAUCCUAAUAUUAAUGGUAACUAUAACUCACAUCCUCAAAAAUGAAUCCCUUCCUCAAAAUUAAUUGUUUUAGGAAAUAAUUUCUUCACAAUUAAUUUGAGAAUACAUGCUAGAGAUUAAUAUGACAAGAGUAUGAUACAGAUUAACUCUAUAUAUGGAGAAUAUAGAACAUCAAAUUAAAAGGCAAUAAUACCAUAAAGUAACACAAAGCUUAAGACAUUAUAACACAUUAAUUUUACCUUGAGAUCAGCCUUAAGAACUUUUAGUAAUUAAUGUAGUAUAUGUUUGACAGAUGAUGUGCAAUAAUGGCAUGUGCAUACAUUUACAAGUAGCAAUUCCCAUCCUUAUCCACUGGUUACUCUAUAUAUCAUCACAUGAUACUUUAUACUUUUAUAUUGAACAACCUUUCAACAUGUUUACUAAAUUCUCUUUUGCUUAAUGAUAUUUAAAGUUCAAUCCUGAAAUUGUAGUGCACUUGUAUUUAAUUUAACCUUUUUAAGUCCAACAGGUUUUCGGGCAUAUUGCAUAUAUAGUAGGAAAAUAUUUGGGUUGGGGUUCUUAUAAUUUGCAGAGAAGAAUCAUUGGAGUUUGAUAUUGUUCCACAUAUUCAAACCCCUCUGCCACCAUCCCUCCCAAGAAAAGAAAGAAUGAAAUUGUACAAUCAACAAUGUACUUUUAAAUCUUUGUAAUCUAUCUAUAAUCAUAAUUAGCUUCUCUUUUAGAAAAUUAUAGUGGAAUCACUAUAUGUUGUCCCUCAGGCUUUUCAAAAGCAAAUAUCUGUUUGACAUUCCUUGAAUUUUGACCCCAGCGUGGUCCCUUAGUGAAGUUGCAAGUCCAUUGAUCUUCAUAUUAUUAAACUCUUGUUCCUCACAGCAAUGUUUAAAGCACUUUUUCAAACCAAUUUUUUAACCAAAUUCACCAGUAUGAAGCAGCCUUCAAGCCUCAAUUUUACUCUUCCCAUCAGCUAAUUGUCAGUCGCCAUACACAGGAGAGAAAUGGGUGAGAGAGAGAGAGUCAUCUUUUUCUUUUCUUUUUUUUUUUCUCUCUGAAGUUCAUGCAUGCAAAUCAUUUCUACUAAUGGGAAAAAGAGAAGAGAAUCAUCUUCUUUUAAGAAAGCCACGCACCAUUACAAUAAAUAAACUCCCUAAAAAGCAAAAGACAAAUAAACGAUACAUUGAAAGCAUCAUCACAAAGUACUACAAUAUUGCUAUAAUUCUUAUCGGAAAAAAAACCAAGACAAAAUGCCAAGGGACAAAGCUUCUGGUGAUCAACAAGGGCUUCUACACCAUGUUCCUUCACCUGAGGAAUUCUAGCACACCCCAAAGGAAUAUAAUGAAGAAAAAGCAGUAAAAGUCUCUGAUUUAGUCUCUCUUAGUUGGUUGCAACACCUACAAGUCAUCAAGCCACAUAUGUUAAUUAGAAUUGUAAGCAAAAAUUGAAAGAAAAAAAAAAUAAAAACCACAAUCCUUGAUGAAUAAGGUGAAAGACUGUACCCAAAAAUGGAUAGCAUGCUUUUAAUAUGAAGUUCUAUUGUUAAAGUCUCUUGGGGCACUGCAUCUGAAGCACUCCAUCCGGCUAGCAAAAUUGUGCUCAUUGCAUCCAGACCUGCAUUGAUCAUAUUGAGUUACAUUUAAUUUUCAUAAGAAUAAGAUAAGACAGGACUCUUUUUCCCUUUUUCCUACUCAACACAGAGUGGAGAGCAAGAGAUUCUUAAAUGCUUCCUAGCUUCCAAAAGCAGUCAAAAGAAAAUCUAGCAUGUAAAGGAAAGAUAUACAGCAACAACUAAAGCUUUCAAAGAACAGAAUCUGGCUGGCAAAACCAAAAGCAAAGUUGUGUACGGAAAAGCCGGCCAUUGUAGCAGAGAGAAUAAACAUGCCACUGUAGUUGUCUCAGCUAGCAGCUUCUCCUAGUUGAUUACAACUGAAAUAUACAAAUAUGUUUACACCAAUAAAAAGGGAGCAAGAGGUCAUCCCCGGCUUGGAACAAUGAAGAAAAAAAUUAAUAUUUUAGAUGUCUUGACUUCAUAUCCUAUAAGAAAUGCAAUAGUCAAAUAUCGGAAAACAAAAGUGUUAGAAGAAUUCACCUGGUGCAUAUCCAGUCGCCUGAUUUCCAUCCGGAUCGAUUACCACCAAAUCCUCUUGAACGUGGGAUGUCAGAGUCGAAACCUCCAGCAGAGUCAUCCUUGAAUGCACCACAUUUGAAGCAGCUGGAACGGCUAGCGAAAUUGUGGGUGCCACAGUUUCCGGCAGUGCAGUACCAGUCACCAGGUCGAACAUCGGAGCCGGUGGUGAACCCAAAUGAGGAGCCACCCCUCCCACCGUAGCUACCAAAGUCACCUGACCUAGAUUCCCCGCAACGUUGGCAGGAGUCCCUCCUCUGGAAGUUGAGGUGCUGGCAUGACCUGCAGUUCCAAUCUCCUGGCCUGCUCAUUGUUUUCUUCUGCUCUAAGAAAAGGAUUCCAUUCAAACAGGGUGACAAGCAGGAACAAACAAAACACAACGUCUCGAAAACAUGAAGAUUUUGAAGUUAUAAGGAUAUAAGGCGAUACAAAGAAAACAAACCUUAACUAGAAUAACGCAAAGAUGAUGACUUCAAUGAUAUAAUCAAGAGGUUGUAGUAGAAGGAAUCCUUGAAGGAAUGCCCCAAAGAGGGGCUCUUUAUAUACAUGUUAGACCACAGAAAAAGGAAUAAAUGGAGGGCUGUGUAUGUACUUUUUCGUGUUCUUCACAUUUAGUCUUGAUAAAUGGAAUAAUUGUUAAAGGAAGAAAAGAGAUAAAGGAAAAUUCUGGCUAUGAUUCCAAAGACAGGAAAUUUUGAAUAAAUGCUUUGGCUUGGGUUUCCUUUUUAGGGUUUGGGAAUAUUGAUAAUUAUGUGCAGUGCAUACACAUAUUCGGUCUCUUGCAUAAAUCUGGAUAGAAACAAUUUAGCUUUUUUUUUUUUAAAUUUUAAUAUUAUAUGUUUUCGCUGCCCAAUGCAAAUUUCUUUGUCACAUUAAAGUGAGUGAUUCUACACAAUUUUCCAUUUAAUGCCCUUGUGAACUUAACUGUGUGGUUAAAUAAAUCAUUUCAAAAGACUUGUGCUACACUUUCCAAUUGAAGUAUAGCAUAUUUAUCUGAGAAAGACUAUUGUUUAUCUUUUUUUAAACCAUAAUAUUUAAAAAACUAUUUUAAAAAAUUGAAAUAAACCUUUAUCCUUCUAUUAUGUUCAAUCAAAUCUUUAAACUUUUAUUUUAAAUCAAAUAGACCUUUAUAAUUAACGGUUGAUUAAUUGCAAGUCAAAAUGUCACUUUGUCACUUUAUGCAGUGUGGUAUGCUGAGAUGUUAUAGUAAAUAGUAAUGUAACAUAUCGAUAUGGUAUAAUGAUAUGACUACAUGAUAUUUUCAUCUUCUAUGUCAACACCACAUCAAUAUCAUGCGAAUAUAAAAUAUUAAAUGACAUUUUCACGGAUAACAAUUAGUCAAUCAUUGGUCAUAAUGAUCUAUUUAGUCCAAUAUAAAAUUAUAGGAGCUUGAUUGAAUGAAAUAGAAAAAUAAAAGUUAUUUGGAUUUCCUUGAAUAAUUGAGAGGUUUUUUGAAAUAAGUCUUUAUCAUUUUAUUCUUUUAUUACGUCCAGUUAAGCUCUUAUACUUUUAUUUUAAGUUAAAUGGACUUUUAUGAUUAAUAGUUAAUUAACUGUUGUUAACUUUUGUUAAUCAAAAUACUUGUCAUUUUAUGUCAUGUGGUAUUGAUAUGACACAAUGAUAUGUUAUAGCAUAUGGUAAUGUGGUAUAUCAAUAUGGCAUGAUGACAUGACCACGUGAUAUUUUUCAUUUUCUAUGUUAAUGUCACAUUAAAGUCACGUGAGCAUAAAACAACAAAUAACGUUUUGAUUAAUAAUAGUUAAUUAUCAAUUAGUUAUAGGGACCUAUUUGCUCUAAAAAAAUAUAUAAGAGUUUAAUUGAAUGCAAUCAAAGAGUAAGAGUUUUUUUAGAUUUUCUUAAAUAAUUUAAAAGUUCUUUAAAACAUUAUGCUUUUAUUUUUAACACAAUUAUCAACACUCACAGUCUAAAGGUUACUUAAACCAUACCAAAGUGCCUAUGGCAUGAGAUAAUGGUAACUUUUAUGUAUAAUCAGCAACAAAUAUCCAAAGCGUCAAAGUAAUAAGUUUAAGGAUUUAAAUUCCAAAUCUCUUUGUACUCUUAUUUCCUGCAUAGAAAAAAAAAUAGAGAUUCAAGAUUCACUUUGUUGAAUAAAAAUAUAGACAUUUAUAAUUGAAUCAAACGUUCAAGUAUCAAAAUUUUAUGUAUUUUUCAAUUAGAAAAGAUAGAAAUUAAUAUACAUAGACACAUAUUUAAGAACAAAUUGUAAAUUUAACAAUCAAAUAAUGACAGGAGAAGAUAGUAUUUAAAUAUAAUAUGCAAUAAUUUCCCAAAAUAUGUAGGCUUUGAAAGAAUUGAGAAAUUUAAAUACCAUAUGUGUAGGCUUUUUCAUUUUGCUCACAUAACAGAGGUGUAGUGUAGUAGUCAAAACAAUCAAACUGAAGCGGAUGUAGGGAUGGGCAGCAGCCCAACAAAAUCAGGAUCCCACAAAAAGCAAACAGGAGAUCCUGUUAGGCUAUAAGCACAACAUUGCUAAUCCAAAAAUUCUGUUCAAUCAAAUGAACCAUGAACCUCACAAAAGGCUCUUUGACCAUGGGUAUCUGGGACCCUUCUCCUCUAGUGCGGCAAUUGCACAAAUUGCAAUUUCUUUUGACAGUCAAGAAUCCUAACAAGCAUUUCUUGCCACGUAAUGAAUAUUCUCAACAUUAAAACCUAGGCAGGGCCACAUCUUAUCUCAAUUAUUUUGGUCAUGUCUCUUUCAAUUUAUACUUUGGAGAAUCAACAACAGUGGCAGUCACUAUAUAUGAGUAAAAUUGUUGCUGCUUUACAUAUUUGAAUAUUCUCCCUUUUGUACUUCAGCUCCAAUCCAGUAAAGGAAUUCCCCUCUAAUUUUUCAUCAACCCAAACCGUUGUUUUCUUUUCUUUUUGUGGGUACAUUUGUAUCUUGAUCUUUAAGAAAUUCUUUGAAAGUAAACCCCAAAAUUGAUUUCUAAUUAAAGAUAUUAUAGUAUAACUCUAAUUAGAUAUUGUAAUCUAGCUAAGUAAAAAUAUUAUAUUAUAACUCUAACUAAAUAAUUUAUAUAAUUAUCUUAACACUCAUAAUAUAAAUUAAAUAGUUCUCAAUCGGAGCUCUUAUAUAUCACAUGAUUGAGAUCAGUAUCAUAAACUUCUCUUUGCAUGCCAAAUUCUAAACUUUGUUAACAAUCUAAUUUCAAUUUUAGUACAUAAUUCGAUGGAAAACAUAAGCAAAUGGCUUUCCAAAAAAAAAAAACAUAAGCAAAUUAAAAGUUCUUUUUGAUGUUUGGGUAAUCAUAAUGUCAUUUUCUCUCAACGUUAAGCUUUUAGGACUAGAAAUGGAGGGGCUCCCUUUUCUUUUUUCCAUUGUUUCAAUGUUUUGGUUUUAUGGGGUUAUUAAAGAGUUAGCGUUAGUCUUUUGGGUUGCUAAUUUUGUUGUUCUGGGUAAAGGGUGUUGCUUUUGUUAUUUUCUCAAGAUGUUUAUCCUUUCCUUUGUAUUUUGGGUGUGGGGCUUAUGCAUUGCCCAACCCUUCCCUUCAAUAUAUUUAGUUAAAUAUUAUUAGAACAUGAUAUACCAUUUUUGCGAUUAAAUAAUCAAUAAAAAACAAAAAUAUUUAAUUAUGUCAAAAAUAAUUGUACAAAUUCAGUGAUACAGUUAAAACACAAUAUUAUUGGUUGGCUAGUUAACUAGUAAGACUACAAUAUUGUUAUAACUAGCCAGAGUUAGAUUAUGAAUAUGAUUACCUUCUAUAUGCAAAUCAUUCACCUUCAUAACAAUAAAUAUAAUCUCAAAACUCACAUCGACAUUACAAUGUUCACUCUCUAAAACAGUAUGAAUCCACUCAAGAAAAAUGUUGAAAAUAACUUGUAGACUAUGCGUUUGUCUAAUCUCACUCAUACGACAUGAGAUCCCCUCUUCUGGCAUUUGAAUUAAUAGAGACAAAAGAGGAAUGAUUUGAAAUUAAAAUUAAGUUGCAUAAUUAGGGUUUUCCAAAUUGUCAAAACACAUCACCUUCUCCUAAUUUCAUUUAAUGGCAAGUCACAGCAUCAUUUGCAUCAAGAGAAAAAGAUUAGAAAAGGAAGCAUCUACAUAGAAUACAAAAUGGAAUCAUUCACAUUUUUCAUCAUUUGAUAUUUUUUUAAGGAGAAUGGGAUUUUUUGAGGGAGAGGAACAAAAAAAGAAGAAAAGAAAGGCAAACCAAAAAGAGAGAAAAAGGAAGGGCAAAUGGUGAGUUUCAAUAAAGAUAGGUUUGCGGCUGACGAUGGAAUAACAAGUCCUUCGAGGUUUUCAUUUUGACCAUCUUUUCCUUUCUCUCUUUUCUGCGGCUGCUUUGCUCAUUACUAUUCCAAUAUUUUCUCUCUCCCCCCCCCAAAACCACUUUUUUCCUCUCUUUUCUCUUCCCUUCAAUUCCCUCUCUCUCCAUAAGCAAAAGGACAUGAAGGAAGAAUAAGAUCUGGCGUCCAUUCUCUUGGAGAACGGUAAAGGAACAAGAGAGCAAACUGUAAAGAAAGAGCAAAGAGAAGUGGGCUGAUUCGAUUCGCCUUGGUAAUCGUUUCCAUGCAUGACCACGACCAACUCAUAUUCCCCCUCCCCUUUAUUUGUCCCUCACCAAUCUUUACAUUCUCCUUUAUUUUCUCACCCGCACUCCCCUUUGCCUGUGUUUUUUGUCUGCGUGCGUGUUUAUUAGGUAAAAAGAGAUAUUCUUUACUUGCAUUCUUCUUUAUUUCUUUUUUUUUUAAAGAAACUUUAUUAUUAUAUGUUGAUGAUGAGAUAUUUAAACUUAACUUUUUAAAGAACAAAAUGUAUAUCGUAUUUAUCAUUCAAUUUAAUAUCCGAAUGCAUAAUAUAAAAUCUCUUGUCAUGUAAUCUAUGAUCCACUUGUCCAAGAGACCACAAACAUAAAAACUUCCUUACAAUAUUUAAGCACGCAACAAGGUUAUUAGCUUCAUUUCUUGUUUUUAUUGCUUUAUUAACAUUAGGAAGAAAUUAAGAACAUAUGGCUAAGAAGGAACCAUGUUAAUUAGCUUCAUAUUUUUUUGAAUGUUAAUUAGUAACAAGUGGUCACCCAAACGAUUAGAAUUUGAGAUCUUAAUUAUUUUAAGAGUCUUGAGUUUGGGUUCCGAGUAAAGAAGGUGAAUCUUAUAGAAAAGGGUAAGACUAUCUCCUUUCGUGUAAUUAGAGCUAUAUAUGCACCAACAAUUAAGAAGUAGAAACUACUCUUAACUUAUUAUGGAACCAGAAUGUGUACAUGUAUACCAUAUGGGCCGGGUGGCUUGGGGGGCUCACUUGCUUUAGAAUGCCACAAGAUAAAAGAUUUAGUGAUCUGUGAGUCCAUGACAAUGACAAUAUAAACUGUUACUUAGUCAUGCAUUUUCAAUCAAAAAUGAUUUCAAAGUUCUUUUUUGUUUUUUAAUUUACUAUAAUGCCGAUUUUCUUCACUUUCUCUUAAGCAAACAAAUAGUGAUAAUUAAAUAUACAAAAAUAGCUUUUGUAGUUCAGUGCCGACAUCGUUGACCUGUUAAGAUCACUCAUAGGGCCAAUAUAUAUCUCUCUCUCUCUCUCUCUGAAAAGGAGGAUUUAAAUGCACAACCUUAAGGGGUUAGGAAGGGGCCGGGGGUUAGGACUAGAGAGCAGUACGAAAAAAGACGACCAUUUUAAGUAUACGUCAAGUAAACCAAAAGAUAAAGCGGCUGGCUAACGUUUUCGUUUGAGUACCGGAAUUUUUUUUUUUUGUCUUACUUUGCGGGUAAUGGUUUUGCUGGUUUCGGCAACUCUAAAGUGAUAUGUUUAUAUCAGCAAAUUUGGCUUAAUGCAUAGAAAUAAAUAAGGGGAAUUCAAAUCACUCUUCUUUCGAAAUACAAAUAAAUAACUAAAAUGGUGUUUUUUUUUUCUCUCCUUUAAAUUGUAGAAAUUAAAAAUAAUAAUUAAACUACUAACUAAUUGAUGUAGCAUAUUGAUGCGAUCCAUAUAUUCAUGUUGAAAAUAAGAUUCAAAAAAUCAGAGAUAAAUAACAAUUUUUAUUAUUCAGACAUGGAAGUACAAUUUCUGAAAUUUCUUUAAAAUGAAAGAACAAUCCUCUUAUUCUUAGCUUGGAUAAAUAUUUGUUUCAAGCAAACAUGCUAAACUCCAAGAAGUGAACAGAGCAUGGAGCUAGCUAUAAGAUGGGGGAGAUAUGAGAACAGUGACUAAGAUUGGGGAAAGUUGCGGAAGACAUGGGUAGAUGGAGGGCAUCCUUUAAAUUUGUCUUUGUGGUUAACCUUAAUAGUAGGAUCACAUAGAGUAACCUAAAGGAUUUGUUUGAUGAAUUUGGGAGGAUUAGGGAUAUCUUUAUCUCCUGACCUUAUAUGAAUAGGGGUUAUACCUUUGCCUUUGUUAAAUAUAGGGAGGAGGACGAAAGAAAGAGAGCCAUCAAUUUUGGUUUCAAAAGAAGGGUGGAUUGAAGAAGCAUGGUGAUCAAAUAAACUCAUUAUUACCCCAAAUUCCCCUUCCCCCUACACCUGAUAGAGUAGCUAUCCACUAGAAAAGAGUUAGUCAACCAAUUGGUAGCUAGGAGAAAUUGUUCAAGAAGGCACUCAUAAGGAAUGUGCAGGAGACGAACAGGGGGACACAAGAACCACCAAAGUUGGAUCCUCCAAGAUUGAACAUCCUGUUAGUUUUACCCUAGUUUUGAAAUGAUGAAAUUGAUUGAUCUAAAUAUGCUUUAAGAAUGCUUGAAGAUGUUUUUAAACUUGAAGAAAUUCCUCAAGAGUUUUGAAGUGGGUCUUAUAAAGAAAAAUGUUUUAAAACAAUCUCAAACUCAAAAUAUUAGCCUCAAGAAUCGACUUUUAGUAAAUGAAAAAUCGAUUCUCAUUACAUAGAAAGCAAAAUUUUUUAUUUCUCUACAGGAAGAAUUGAUUCUAUGAAAAGAAGAUAUCAGUUCUUGCUAGAAUCGAUUCCAAGAAAAUGGAAGAAAUCCAACUACAAGUCUGAAGACAAAGAAUCGAUUCUUGAGAAAGAAGAUAUCGAUUCUUGAAGCAUCAAUGACAAAAAUCAAAAACUUGGAAAGCAAGGAAAAGAUGGAACAGAUGGAUAAGAUUAGAGCAUCAAAGAUCAAGUUAAAAUUCAAAGUUUGGUGCCAAACUACAGUGAAGAACCGACACCUUGAGAAAGAAGAAUCAAUUCUUGAAAAAUUAUAAAGGUGCCCCUUUGAGCCAAGAUAAGAAAGAAUCAACAUCUCAAGAAGAAAGAAUCAAUUUUUUGGAGAUAGAAAGUUCCAGACUUUAUAAAGAACCAAUAAGUCAAGGACAAAGAAUCGAUUCUCCAAGUACGAUAAACUUGGUUAAGCUGGCCAAAAAAUACAAAAAUUUAUUUCAAACUUUACCCCGAUGGGCAAGAAAUCACGUGUGAGACCUUGACCUUUAUAGACUCAUAGAUAGAAAUAUACGCGAUAUCCCUAAUUAGGGGUAAUUUCGUCAUUUUCUCAAUAAGCCCCUAAAAGUAAGUUUUUAAACAAUAGUAUGGCUUAAGUAGGCCUAAAAAGCAUAAUGAAUGAUGAAAAUAAUGAUAAAAUGACAAAGGAAAUAGAAAUAAUAAUGAUUUCCAAGGUAGGGGUAAAAAUGGUCAUUUUUCAUCUCGAGUCAAAAUUUUUAAGUUUUCAUGAACCCGAGUAUUUUUAAACUAUUAUGGACUUUAUCUCAGUGUCAAAAGAGUAAAAAGAUUGCAUAAAGGAUUGUAGGAAGACAAAGCCAACUUGUUAAGGGCAUUUUCGUGAUUUUAGUGAAGUUUGGAUAAGCUUAGGCUAAAAAUAUCUCAUUUCCCCAGUAGCUUCCUCAUUUUUCCAGCAGCUUUUUAUUCUUUUUCCUCCCAUCUCACAUUUCCUCAUCUUCCAUGGAAGCCUCUCUUAAAGCUUUCAUAACUCUCUCUCUCUCUAGCUUCAAUUUUCAUUCUUUUGAGCACUUUUUCAUAGAACCUUCUGUGCUCUUUCACUCUCUCACCUUAAACCCUCAAAAGUCUUUGUUCAACACUUUCUCCCACUAGCUAGAAGUUUUAGAGAGAGAAAGAGAGACUUGCCAUAGUAGCUUGAAGACUCUUGAAAAGGAGUUUAACUAUAAGUCCAGCAAGGUGAGAAAUGAGUUAGGGUUGAUUUUAAGUGGUUAGAGAUGGUUAAUAAUUAGAAUUGUGGGCUGUUAUAUUUUUGAUGGUUCUAUUGUGUGUGAUAGGUUCCUACGAGGCCUCACAUGUCCGUUUGAAGCAAUAAUCAAAGUUAGAGUCAAUUAAAGAUUCAACAAAUAUCGACGAGUGAACUUGCAUCAAAGUGUUUUUGAAAAAUACAUAUGUGUUGGGAUGAAGCAUUUAAAUGAUUUUACUUGGUUUUUCAUUAAAUUAUGCAUGGGAACAAGCCCUUGAUANNNNNNNNNNNNNNNNNNNNNNNNNNNNNNNNNNNNNNNNNNNNNNNNNNNNNNNNNNNNNNNNNNNNNNNNNNNNNNNNNNNNNNNNNNNNNNNNNNNNNNNNNNNNNNNNNNNNNNNNNNNNNNNNNNNNNNNNNNNNNNNNNNNNNNNNNNNNNNNNNNNNNNNNNNNNNNNNNNNNNNNNNNNNNNNNNNNNNNNNNNNNNNNNNNNNNNNNNNNNNNNNNNAAUAUGAAAGAUUCUAUCCAACUUGUCUUAGAAAAUGUACCUUGGGAACAAGCUUUUAGUAAAAUGAUUUUAUAUUGUGAAAAUGUGCUAUACAAUGGUUUAUGUGUUAUCACAAUAUGAUAAAAUGCAUGAUAUGCAUUGGAUGCUUCUUUGCAUGUUGUUGUGGACCCGGCUAUGUGCAAGUAGGAGUGCACAUAAGCCGUUGCUGACUCGGCUAUGUGCGAGUAGGAGUGCACAUAAGCCAUUGUUGACCCGGCUAUGUGUGAGUGGGAGUGCACAUAAGCCGUUGCUGACCCGGCUAUAUGCGAGUGGGAGUACGCAUAAGCCGUUGCAUAUGAGAUGAUGAUGUUGGGAGGGUGUACAUGAUGAUUUAUAUAUAUAUAUAUACAUAUAUGGUAUAUGGUUGUAAAUGCAAAUAUGUGAGCAUUUGAUUUGUUGAAAUUUGAGAGUUUACAUGUGUUAAUGUUGCUAUUGUUAUUUUAGCAGGAUAACUUGUUUUAAAGGAAAAUGAGACUUUUUCCUUGAUGUUCUGACUCUCGCUGCAGCGAGAAACUCUCAGGUUUGAGGGCCUUCACCAAACCUGGUUCUUGCUGCAGCGAGAAUGAAGUUCGCUGUAGCAAGAAACUUUCUGUCCAUUUUGGCUAACUUGUGGGUUUUACUAUAUUUUUCGAUUCUUUGGUACCAUAGUUGAGUAUGGAUCUUUUAAGUGAUUUACUCAUGAGGGGUUUACAUGAAGGGUUCUACUAAGAACUAGAACAAAUUGCAUUGUUUUGAGAAAAUGAGUGCAUCAUGAUUUCGAUAAACAUUUCUUAUGGUAUGUUUGUUCCUUUCUUGUUCACUCACUGAGUUUAUGCUCACGGCUUUCAACUUCAUGUUUUUAGAUUAAGAGACAGCCGGUAACUAGGACGAGGUGUCCUCGUGGCUUGAAUCCAUCUUUUGGUAGGUCUCUCGGCAUUCAGUAGCUGUACAUUCGUUUGAGUCUCUCCGCUGGACAUCGAGUCUCCUUUUGUUGUGUAUAGACGAACCUAAUGUGAAUUAUUAAGAUACAUGUGUAGACAGUGUAUAUACACUUGUUUGGUAUGCCAGUAUGAAGUGGCAAUGCUUAAUAUUAUUUUGAUUUUAAGUUGUAAUAUAUGACUUAGUAGUUUAUGAUGGAAUGAUGAACAUGUCAGAUUAAUAGGCUUGCUUGGGCUUAGUGGACUACGUCCAUUAGGCCCAUGCACCGGUCAUGACCCGGAAUUUGGGUCGUGACAUCACGGGGCUUAUAAAUACCUACUUUAAGGAUGCCAAAAGCAUAAGAUUAAGAGCUAGAAAAAAAGGGAAAAACAAAUAGAGAAUCAAAAGUAGAAAAAUCAUUCCUUUGAGUAGCAAAGAAUCAAGAUCACAUUUUUAUUUCUAAGCUAAAACUUUUUGAGCUUGAAUGUUCUUUCAUCUUUCAUCAUGCUUGAAAAAGCUCUCAUAUUUUUGUACCUAAACAGCUCAUUAGCCUUUAUAAAGGUUUUAAGCUCAUAUUCCUUGAGAAUACACUAUUGUUGGUGACACUUCCACGUAAUAGGUAGUGUUAAGGUUAUACCUCCUUAAAAAGGUAGUGUUAAGGUUAUACCUCCAAGCAAAAGGUAGAGAGGUCAUGCUUGAUCCUUAAAAGAAAUUUCGUUGUAGAGGUUGUGCUUGAUUCUUAAAAGGCAUUUGAUUGUAGAGGUUGUGCUUGAUCCUUAAAAGGCAAUGGCUUGUAAAGGUUGAUCCUAAAAAGGCAGUGACUUUUGUAUAGGUUCUGCUUGAUCCUUGAAAGGUAGUUUAUAGUGGAUUCGUAUUCCUUGUGCUAUCAAAGGAGAGGACAUAGACAUCAAAGGUUGAACCUCUAUAAAAACAUGGCUGAGUGCUCUUUAUUUUUUACAUUUAUUUUUCAUUCAGCUUAUACCCUAUUUUUGCUACUCUGCUUUUUAUACUUUUUACCUUGUUUAAUUUUUUUUUAAGAAGGGAUUUUUACUUCAUAACCAAUUCACCACCUCUUGGUUAUUUUACUUUAAGCUUAUUUAUCUAACAAUUAGUAUCAAAGCAGGUUCUUAAGUUAGUAGGUUUAACAGCCUUUAAGAGAUCUUGAUAAAAGCUUAGAGUAUGAAAAAUGGCAUCUGCAACUUUGCCUUUGUUAAAUAUAGAUAGGAGGAUUAAAGAAGGAGAGCCAUCAACUUUGGCUUCAAACGAAGGGUGGAUCGAAGAACCAUGGUGAUCAAAGAAGCCCAUUAUCACCCUUGAUUCCAUCCCUUUUUACCCCCCACUCGAUAAAGUAGCUAUCUUCUAGAAAAGAGUUAGUCAACCAGUCCAUCAACUUUGGCUUCAAACGAAGGGUGGAUCAAAGAAGCAUGGUGAUCAAAGAAGCUCAUUAUCACCCCUGAUUCCAUCCCUUUUUACCCCCUGCUCAAUAAAGUAGCUAUCCUCUAGAAAAGAGUUAGUCAACCAAUUGGAAGUUAGGGGAAAUGGUUCAAAAAGGCACUUAUAAGGAAUGUGCAGGAGUCGAACAAGAGGACACAAGAUUCUCUAAAGUUGGAUAUUCCAAGAUCUAAUAUCUGUAUUGACCAAGAUGGUUGCACAAGUGAGAAAGGUGUGCUAAACUUAAAUAGUUAUAUCUCAACCGAGGACCUUGAGUGGACUAGCAAGAGUGCAUUUUAGAAAUUAAGGGAAGGAACUCACUUAUCAAUUAUGAAACCCCAACUUUGAAGUAAGGAUAAAAACAUAACUUAGCUUGGUGAGUUAUUGUUUAAUGUUUUCUGUCCAACAUUUUUUAACAUUUACAAAUUAUAAAAUGCAUGUUUUAUUGAAUAAAUAAGCCUAUUUGAGGUAUAGGACCCAUAUAGAGUGAAUUGGUCUUGUUUUGAACUCAAAAAUAGCAUUUUGUUAAGAAAAUAUUGAUACAUAUUCAUGAAGUAUUGAUACUUGAACCUAGAAAAGUCUUCUAAUGAAUGAAGUAUUGAUACUUUCCUUAAAGAUAUUGAUACUUGUAAAGCUAGAGAGAAGUAUAGAUAGUUGCUCCAAAAGUAUCGAUACUUAUGUCACGAAUUUGAAAAAAUAAAGGUAAUAUGGUCUUUUCACAAAUAAAAUAAUACCUUAAACCCUCUAAAACCUCCUCAGAUGUUUUUACACUUUCUUUCUUAACCUUUUUUGUCACAUCCCAAUUUCUGGAGGGAUCGUGACUGGCAAAUGAACCUACAUAGAUAUAGCCCACUAGGCCCAAGCAAGCCUAAACCAAUAAUGUAUGGGUUAGUCAUCUAUCACAUUCACAUAUAUUUCCAUUCACAAUUAAGAAUAUGCAAAUAAUUUAUCAAGGCCACCACAAUACGAAAUUUCUCAACAUAAAGUGUAGUUUCUAUCUCAUUUCAUAUAAAUAUUCACAAUGUAAUAACAAUUGUCGUCCGGCACGUAUCUUGUGCCAAUGUUGCUAUGGUUCAUCAACCAUUGUCUUAUCGUUCACAUGGACCCAUAUUUGAGACUCAACAUAAUGUGCGAAAGCAUAAACAAAUAUGAGAAUAUCAACAUUUAUUUACAUAACCAAGUUCAUUAUCAACAUAAUAGUUCAAAAACUAAACUUGACACACUAUGAAGUGUAUGACGCUGAGAGGCUGGAAAAAAGGCUCUACCACUCUUACACCAAUGAGCUAGGCUACUACUCAAUAAGUCACCUAGCCAAGCAAGCUACUGAUUUGUAAAAUAAAAUAAGAGAAAAUAAUGGGUGAGUCACAAAGACUUUGUGAGUGGAUACAGGGAAAGAUACAAGCUAAAGGGGAAAAGUUUUAGUACAAACCAUCAAUUUGUAAUAAGCAUGCAUCUUUGCAUAAUCAUAGAUUUUUCAUUUAAACCUUGGAAACUAAUUAGCUGUAAAUAUAACAACAUUCUGUCAUAUCAAUUAUCACAUUUGAUAAACACAUUUAUGAAAUAAAAGAUUGAGUAUGUAUGGAAUCAUAUGCAUGAAAACAAAGAUGUUAUACGUUACCGGUAUUAAUUCCCUUGCAAGGGUUGAUACCAUAUCUUCAAUCUCGUUUUCUAGCAUAUAAAGAUUCAUACUUGAAUCAUAUAUGAUCCAAUUCUAGGAUCUACCACAUAACAUUUUCCUUUCAUAAUUAGUGAGUAAACAGUCAUUCCUAAAAUGGGGUUCAAUUCAACGCAACAUCAUAUGAAUAUAACGCAUAAACAAUGCAUUAUCUCAUAGUUAGGUGGAAUCUCCCAUCACCAAUAUAACCACUUUUGCAAGAACAUCAAUACCAUGGUUUAGGGUCUCUCAUAUCCACCUUGUAUACCAUGUCAAUCACUAUGCCUCAAUGGAUUAGGACCCUUCGACGUUGCCUCGUAUACCAUCCCCGACACUAUUAUAAUCGACUAAGGCCCUUCAACUCCACCCCAUUUACCAUCCCCUCAUCAUGCAUGAUGAGUGUUGGGCCUUUCAGCUUCACUUAUAUGCACCAACCUCUCCAUACAUUAAUCACACAAUAGUACAACCAUUCAACAUUUCAAAUAUAACAUUCACACAUUAAUCGUAUAAAAUUAACCAUACAUAAUCACAAGUAUUCAUAAAUCAAUGGGCAAUGUCAUGCAUUUUCAUUUCUCCAUAUCAAUAUCAAUCAAGGGAUAUCAUUUGUCCAUACAAAUCAUAUGAUGUUUACAAGUCAUUUCUCCUCUGCCAUAUCAUGGGAAGAUAUUUUGAAGAGAAAUCAUUUGGAAGGGCUUGUCCCCCUUUGUUCAAAACUACUAUAUGGUAAUAUAUUUACUUACAUAAUAGAUUGAAAACUUCUUCCAAAACAUUUGAAUAGGUAUUCAAAACCAAGAUUUUACAAACAAUGUAGUGGUAAAUAAUCAAUCAAAAUAUGCCCACUUCACGUAUCCAAAAUUUUGGAAAAGGUGUACCCACUCACGUAAUUAGAGGCUUAAUCUCUAGCUUCAAUCACAACCCUUUUUCCAACGAACUCCUUAGAGUUUUCAAUCGUUCCUAACAUUUAAUAAUCAUCACAAUCAAUAUCUAGAUUUAAAAUUUCAUAAUACCAAUCCUAAGCAUUUUCAAAACUAGUCAAAUUCGUCUGAAACUAAUUCUCUAGCUUAAAUCCAUUACUACUUAUCAUAAUAAAUAUUUAGAAACCCAUAACUCCUUCAUCCUUACCUAAAGUGAGCUUUGAUGCUAAGGAAAAUCACAAAACCUUAAGCUUUAGCAACCAAUAGAAAAAUCUAGGCAUAAGGACAACAUUUUUAGUUUUGGAAAAUCAAGAUUUAAAGAUUUCAAAGUUGAAAAAUGUCAUUUUGUUCAUGAAAACCCAAAACCAAGCUUCCAAAUCUUAAAAAUAGUGAUUUGGCUUGAAAAUGGGUAUGAAAGGGUUUAGGUUGAGAGAAUACAUAGCAAAAAUGGCUAAGGGUCACAAAUUUUCGUAAAAUGUGACAUAUUUAUAGGUUAUGACGUGAAAUACGUUUUUACCCCUUUUAUUUUUUUGAAAGUGACAUCAUUUAUCGAUAAAUUGGGGUCAUCUAUUGAUAGAUGGACUUCAGGGUUCUUUUAAAAAGUUUUUGAGUUGUUAUCUAUCGAUAGAUGGACACAUCUAUCGAUAGAUAGGCUCGAUCUAUCAAUAGAUGUUCUUCAAUCCUCUUUAAAAUACUUUUCUGUGUUUAUCUAUCAAUAAAUGAAGAAUAUCUAUCGAUAGAUCAGCUCCAAUAAGCAAAAAGAAACGUUAAAAACUUGUCUAAUUAGACUCCUUUUAACACUAAACUUUGCAAAUCACCCUAAUUUAUCAAAACAUAAAUUUUUUCAAGAUUAAAACUUAGUUUGAAUGUUCAAAACAUGAAACCAACAUGGCUCACCUAAGGAUUUCUUAACUUAGCAUCAUACAUUAAAGUGAUAUUUCACAUCUCUAUUCUCUAUUCUUUUUCUACUCUCUUUCUCAUUUUUCUAAGUCAUUCUAAAGCAUUUAAGACCGUAUUUGAGUUUAGAUUUUUCAUUUUAAAGACUCUUAAGGGUAAGGUUUCACUAUCCUAAACAUCUAAUCUUGUGGUUUUGAUUUCCAAAAUUUAUGGUUUCCUAAAAAUCCAUUUCUCUCCCUAAAAUUUUCAUUUUUGAUUGCUUUUGGUUCUCUCAAGCUCGCCAAGGUAAGUUUAAUAAGAAAUCUUAGUAGUUGAACUAUAAACUCAUAGUUAAAUUAGAUUUUAGUUACUAAUUUUGGGUUAAUGAAUGAUUUAAGAAGUUUGUGGAAAAAUAAAUGGGUAUUUAUGAAAGUUAUGGCUAAAGAAAGAGGUAAUAACGUUGGAAUAUAUGGUGAUAGGUACUGUUGGAGGGGUNUCACAUAUGGUCUUUUCACAAAUAAAAUAAUGCCCUAAACCCUCAUAAACCCCCCUAAGACAUUUUUACACUUUCUCUCUCUAUUCUCAGCCUCUAUUUUUUCUCUAAUAUCUCUUUCACUUUUCUAAAGCAUUUUAAACCAUUUAAACUCAUACUUGAGUUUAGAUUUUGAUUUUAAAGACUUUUAGAGGUAAGGUUUUCACAUCUUACACAUCUAAUCUUUGGGUUUUGUUUUCCAAAAUUUGUGUUUCUUAAAAAUCUGUUUUCCUUUCUAAAAUUUAGAUUUUUGAUUGGUUUUGGUUCUCACAAGCUCACCAAAGUAAAUAAGAACUCUAACUAGUUGAAAUAUGAAAUCAUAGUUAUAUUAGAUUGUAGCUACUGAUUUUAGGUUAGAGAAUGAUUGAAGAAGUUUGUGGAAGUAUAAAUGGGUAUUUAUGAAAGUUAUGGCUAAAGAAUGAGGUAAUAAUGUUGGAAUAUAUGGUGAUAGGUACUGUUGGAGGGGUUAGUAGCUUGAAGAGGUCGAGUUCGCUAUUGAAAGGUGUUAGAGGGAAAAGCACACUUUGAAUAAGUAAGUAGAUAUGCAUUUAAUUAUUUUGAUACAAUUAAGCAUGUUUUGUCUACAAUUUUAUAUAAAAAUUUUAUUUCGAUAGAGCAUGAAUUAUUUAAAGGAUUUCAAUGUUGCUUGAUGGGUUUAAACAAGUUUGAUGAAUUAUAUAUUUAAUAUAUAUAUAUAUAUAUAUAUAUAUAUGUAUGUAUGUAUAUGAUAUAUAAAUAUGCCUAUCAAUUAUGCAUUUAGCUUUGUGCAUGGGGAACAAGCACUUUGAAUGUUUUCAUACCUUAAUAAUAUGAAUUUUUUUAUGAAUUGAUAGUAUGUUUGAUAUUGAAAUUUAUAAUGAAAAUGAUUUUGAAAAAAGAAACCUUAUGUCAUGACCCAAUCUCGAGUUCAUGAUCGGUGCAAGGGUAUCAAAGGGAGUUAUCCUUUUAACCCAUGCAAGCCUAAUUAUUGAUUAAGUUCAGCACUUGUAUGUAUGCCAACGUAAACAUGAUUACUUAUAUAUAAGAAAAUAUAUUUAACCAUCUUGCAACUCACGUGCUCAACACUUGGGAAGCAAAUAAACAUGAAUCCAGGCAUCGACCAUCUUGUGUCAGGUAUCCCCCAUAAGCCAUCUUGUGACAAGACAUUCAGAGUAUAUUUCUUACAAAGUGUUAAUUAUUACAUGACAUAAACAAGUCAAUAAAACAUAACAGUUUUAAAACAUAAGGACGGACUUGACCAGCGGAGUAUGACGUCAAGAAAAGGGGCUAACACCUAUUGAAUUCCAUGACAAUCACCUACCAAAUCACCCAUAGAAGACAGCUACUCCCCAAAUGGACAGUGAGCCAAGUAAUUUACUGAUCUGAAGAAAAAAAUAGUAGGUAAUAACAUGUGAGUCACAAAGACUCCGUGAGUAGAUACGAGGAGGGGGAGCAAGCAAAUGGGAAAGAGUAUUUAGAAAAUACACUCUUAGAAAUAUGCAAAUAGAUAAUAAAUCAAUAUCUAAAAAAUUCAUCUUUUCAAGCACUAAUAUAAACCAAGUCUCGUUUACCAAGCGUUUUUACAUGACAUCUCUACUCACUGAGCAUGUCAAUAAUCACCGGUCAUUAACUUGACCGAUUCCAUAACCUUUGAAUUUGUUAUCUUUCAAAUGUCAUCAAGAAACACAUGCAUUUUACUCACUCCAAAACUAAUAUGUUUCAAACAGUACAAGGAUGGUAGAGUUCCCUUUUAUAAAAUGUAGUUGUAAAAUAGUUCUUAAACCUUAGAAAAAUAUUUGAAAAAAAUUUGGAAGUCAUUCAAAUGUUUGAUUAAAACAUCAUUUGAAGAAUGUUUGAAAGAUGAUUUGGGUGUUCUCAAGACCUAGUUUUGAAAAUAAAAUCAUUUCUUUUUUAGAAAGCUUUUAAAAACGUUUAGUUUCAAAAAUAAACCUGAUAUAUUGAUACAUGAGACCUAUGUAUUGAUAAAUGGCUACAUCUAUUGAUAGAUUCCUUGAAUCUAUCAAUAGAUAGAAGAUAGAAUACAAUUUUAAAGGUUCUGCUUUGAAUCUAUCAUACUUCAAGAACAAGUAUUGAAAGAUGAGUUACAGAAAGCAAAAAUUCAGUUUAGAACUCAUCACUUGGGCCUUAACUAAAUUUAUACAUCAACCAUAGACAAGAAUACAACAUAUAUUCAACAAAUUUACAACAGUUAUAACACGAUAAACUGAUUCAACAAUGAAUUCAACAAUAUCUUAGUCUAAAUCACCACAUUAGACAUUCAUAUCUUAACACUUGGUUUAAAUCACCACAUUAGACAUUCAACAAGAAAAAAAUGGAGCUUUAGCGAAGGACAACCAAACCCCCUAGAGUUAUCACACCAAAACCAAAUAGUCUGUUACUUUAUGGCCAACAACUAUUCAAAAAGGGAAAUAUUGCGUUAGUUACCAACCUAGCGACCGACUCAAGCUACUUCUCAUUAUGCACAACGGUUAGUGUCCUUUGCCACUAGCUAUAGGUCCUUACAUCGAUAGGCUCCAACAACCAUAAUACACAAUUCAACAUAUAGUGAAUAAUAAUAUAAGGAACAAAACAAUUCAUCCAUAGGCAUAAUUAAAAUCCUUAGACAAGCAACCAUGACAAUAUUCUCAAUAAUUAACCAUAAGUACCAUGGCAUCAAUAAAGAGAAAAUAUUUCUAAUGCAUCUUUUAAAAUCCAUCCAUCAGACAUCAAUCAUUCACAAAUGAGAUGUUGAGAUAUAAACGUAUUGGAAGGCUUGUUCCUUAUUUUCAAAUACCAUAUAGUAGACUAUAUAUAGUUAGUCUAUAUUUUUCACAAACAUCCUUGAAAACAUUUGUUCACCACACAAACGUAGUCAAAAUCAUUUUUAUGCAAGGCUAAAGGUUUGGAAUGCUUAAUUAUAUCAAAAUAAGUAAAAAUGCUGCAUCUACCCACCUCAAUGAAAUGUGCCUUGCUCUUUUGCACCUUUUGUCGAACACUUGCUUUUCCAACAACCUUAUAUCAACUUCACAACCUAACACAAUGUUUCCAACAUUAAUAUUUGGUUUUUUUCUAGGCUAAUAAUCAUCAAAUCAUUCCUCAAAAUUGCCAGUAAUGCUUAAUCCAAUUUCCAACAUCUAAUGUAACAUCUAACUUAAGGAUUUAAAUCAACUAUAAGCUAGAGUUAGAGCAACUUUACCUUGGUGGGCUUGAGAACCUUAAAACCAACUCAAGAACCUAGGUUCCAAGAUUAAAAACGAAAUUCAACAACUUAUAAAAGUUUUGAAAAAUCAAAGCUUAAGAUUAAACAGUUAAAAAUCCUUUAUUUACCUUCUAAAACACUUGAGAUAGAAAACCAAGCUUGAAGAUGACUUAAAAUCUUCGAAAUCCUCUAAUUUGAUGAAAAAUGGAGUUGAAAGCAUAUGGUGGCUGUGUUUUUGAGAGAAAACCUAGUUUUUGCCAUUUUGGAAAAAGUAUGAGGAUUUAAGGGUUUUAAAUAGGGGAUGAAAAGACCAAAAUAUCCUUUUUCCCUAUUUGGAUGUCAUUUAUUGAUAGAUUUGGUCAUUUAUUGAUAGAUUGGCAAUCUAUCGAUAGAUAUUCACUUUUAAAUUUUUUGUGUUUUUGGGUUAAUCUAUUGAUAACUCUAUUAUAUAGAGUUAUUUUGACACAUUUUGGGGGCUUAAAUAGUCAUAGUUUUGAGAUUUUAGGUUCAAAUUUUAGCAUUUUAGGUGUUUUUCUAGUUUAAGUUUGAUUAUAUGUUGAGUAGUUAAUUUAAGUUAUUUUAGUUUAAUUUUAUGUCAUUUUGUUUUAAAUUACUUUAAGAGUAGUUAUUUCUGAUUUUUUUUAUUGCUUUUAUAGGAAAUUUGAUGAAAAAGGCUCAUUUGAUGAAAAUCUGUGCAAGUAUGGUGAUAGCUUUAUUUGUAUAUGUUUUGGUAUUUUACCCAUAUCUCUCUAUACAGAACUCCAAAUGAGGUGAUUCAUAGACCACUAGAAUGCUAAGAGGAAGGGCUACAAUUGUUAUGUUCAACACUUCACCUAGUUCUUAUUGGAUUGUGGUCCAAAUAUUUGUCUAAGUCAGAGCAUUGUAGUAGUAUGCAUGGACUAAACAUGAUGUGGUAUUUAGAGCAUAUCUUUCACUCCAAAGGUCCAAUUGAUGUGAUUCUUGAUCCAUUAGAAAUUUAAGCAACAGGGUUAAAACUUUCACGUUUACCACUUUGCACAUUUCAAAUCAUAUCAAGGUGAAAAUCACGUUGGAAAAUGCUCGACUACUGUAGUUCUGCACAAGGAGGCAUAUCGAGGAAGGCCACGGUGUCAAGCCCAGCUCUACAAUAUGUUUAUUAUGCCAUUCUUACAUAAGAAUGCAUGUUUGCUUACUUGGGUACCUCAGAAAUCAUUAAAGGACAACAAUGUACUAAUGGUAUAAUUAAGUUGAAUUAAGCCUUGAACUAGUCCAAAUAGAGAUUUCAAGAUGAAAUUGAGAAUUUUAAAACCCCAGAAUGACUUAAAAUGGUGAUUCGGAGUUCGAGGACCGAUUUAAAGUCAAAUUGGAAUUUUCAUGAUCUAGGGGCAAAAUGGUCAUUUUGCCACCCGAGGUUAAGAUGUGAGUGUUGGAUGAAAUUUUUGACUAAGAUUGAUCAUUUGGAGUAUAAUUUGAGUUUGAGAAGUGAAAAAUUUUAAUUUCGACAUUUUUCGAGCAUAGGGGUAAAAUAGUCAUUUUGCUACCGAAGGGCAAAAUCGUAAUUUUACACCACCCAACACUUGUCCAGCACAUGGAUUUUACCCAAUAUUAUCAUGGAUAAUUGAGGAAAUUUAAGUGGUGGAGAGAGAUUGCUUAAUGGGUAAGUAUGACACAUGGACCAAUGGAAUGGUGACACAUGGUAAAUUUUUGUCCAUUUAAUAUUUUCCUUUAUAAAGCCAAUUUGAACUCUUCCACAUUCAUUUUUAUGGCCGGCCAAAGCAAGAACAAAGGAAGAAAAGAAAGAACAAAACCCUAAGUGGAAAAAUUCAAGGAAAAAGUGUGAAAAUUCAAGGAAACAAGUGAAAAAAAGGUAAGAUUUUUCAAUUAAGCUUGAGAUCUCUCUUUCUUAAGCAUUUUUUCUUAUUUUCCAUGGUUGAAUCAUAUGAAAUCAUGAUGAAUCCCUUACUGGCCGAACACUUAGAGGGAGGUUUUGAUUCUUGAUUUGGUUAGAUUUCAAUGUAUUUUAUUGUUUUUAGUUAGUUAGUGAUGUGUAGCAUGAAAAGCCAACAAGAAAAAUUCAUUUUCUCCCAUCACCCAUCUUUGGUCGAAUCUUCCAUGUAGAGUGUGGAUGGUGGAUUUGAUUUUAUUUCAAGUGAAUUGGUUAGGAAAUGAUGAAUUACGGUGACAAAAUCAAGUAGAAAAAAUCAUAGUGUUGAUGCACCCACCAUGGCCGAAAUUCUCAAGAGAAAAUGUGAAGAUGAUUUUGUCAUAUUUCAAGUUAUUUAAUUUGUGUUUGAAGAUUUGGAGUAUUGGGAGAAGAAUGGAAUUAUUUGGAGUUGAAUUGGACAUAUUGGCCAAUUAAUCGAGUGAUAGAUCGAAUUAGGCCAAUACCAUUUUAUUUAGGUACACAAUUAAACUUAUAUUGAACACCGUAUUUAGAUGGUUAUCCGAGCGUUUCACAUCCCAUUUCAUGCAUUAGUAAAGGGCCUGAAAUAGAUUUAUAAUAGUAUGACACAGUAUAUUGAAUUAUGUGUCGUGUAUUGUCUAGGUGGUGAGUAUUCUGGCAAAAGUAAAGAGAUAGUACCCGAGGAUCAAGAAUCAGAGUACUCGAAAUUCGAUUCCCAUUAUAGUGAGUAACCUUAUCAUCAUCUUGAUUAUCUAAAGUGAAUUUUAAUUCGUUUUUGUAAUUUUAUGGAAAAUGAGUUUAAAUGGUAAAUCUUUAUGUUUUAUAAGCAAAAUGUGAAUAAAUGAAAUGAUUUUAUAAAAUUGUCUUGAAAUUGAAUGAUGGUUUUGAAAAUGGAGUAAUUGGAGACUAAUUGUUGUGUUAUAAAUCAUGGUUUGAAUUGAAUGGCUUAUGAUAAUAUUGGCAUGAAUGGUUGAAUUGGUAAAUGUGCUGAAAAUGUAUGAACUGUUGAUUUGCCUUAAGAGGCUGUAAAAUAAAAUAAUUGCCAUGUCAUGCUAUUGCAAAUUUUAUUGUAUAAUGGGUUUAGCUUGCUACAGUGGGCGAGUUCUGUGGACUAGCCUUUUUGAGAGGCACAAAAUCCUGUCAUAUUCUUACCUCGAUUGGGGAGGCGCGUAGGGUAACUCCCGAGGUACACCUUUAGAGUUCACUUCAUGCCAAACCACCAUGUGAGGGUGAACUCAACCGACGUCAAGGAACGGCUAUGUUUUCAAAAUAAAAACAUGAUUUAUGCGUACAUGACUUUUUAACAGUCUUGGCGGACUCGGUUGGGAUAGCCCCAGGCCAAGGUAUCCCUGAUAACUGAGUAUGUAAAGCCUGACCUUAUAAAAUACUUGUCAUGACAUACAUGUGAUGGAUAGCAUGUUUCCAUGCUGGGAGCGUCUCGAAAAAUUUACAAAAGUAGGUAUUGUACCUAGAGGUACAACAAAGUUGAUUUAAGCCUCGAACUUGAUCAAAUAGAGAUUUUAUGGUGAAAUUGAAAAUUUUACAAUCCAGGAAUGAUUAAAAUGGUGAUUUGGAGUUCGAUGAUCAAUUUGGAGUCAAAUCGAAAAUUUCACUAUCUAGGGGUAAAAUGGUAAUUUUGCCACUCGAGGACAAAAUGGAAAAAUUUUGAAAGAUUUUGAUCACAUUUGACUUAUUGUAGUAUGAUUUGAGGUUGAGAAGUGAAAAAUUGUAAUUCUGGUAUUUUUCGGAGCAUAGGGGUAAAAUGGUAAUUUUGCCACUCCAGUGGCAAAAUUGUAAUUUUACACCACCCAACACUUAUCCAACAUAUGGAUUUUACCCAAUAUUAUCAUGGAGGAUUGAGAAAAUUUAAGUAGUGGAGAGAGAUUACGUAAUGGCUAAGUAUGACACAUGGACCAAUAGAAUGGUGACAUGUGUCAAAUUUAUAUCUUUUUAUUUUUUAGCUUAAAAAUCAGCAUAAAAUCAGCCCAUUUCUCAUUCAUAUGGCCGGCCAAAGAAGAACAAAGGAAGAAAAGAAAGAACAAGAACCCUAGGGUUAAAAUUCAAGAGAAAAAUUGGUGGAUUUCAAGUAAUCAAGCAAUCAAAGGUAAAAUUUCUUGAUUUUGACUUGUGAUCUACCUUUCUCAUGCAUUAUUUUGCAUUUUUCAUGGUUGAAUCACAAGAUAUCAUGGUGAAUUCAUUGCUAGCCGAAUGGGUAUGGAGAGAGAAUGAUGUUGGAUUGAUUUGAUUUCAAGUUAUGUUAGUGUUUUUAGUUAGUUUACCAUGUCUAGAAGCAAAACAACAAGAAAAGAAUUCAUUUUCCCCAUCACCCAUCAAUGGCCGAACCUACCUUGUAUUGAGUGAGAAUGAAUUUGAUUUUUAUUUUAAGAGAAUUGGUUAGAAAAUGAUGAAUUAUGGUGUGGAAAAGUAGUAGGAAAAAUUAUAGUGUUGAUGCACCCACCAUGGCCGAAUAUUCUAAGAAGAAAAGUGAAGAUGGUUUUGCCAAAUUUUAGGUUAUUUGACUCGUGUUUGGUGAAUUAAGGUAUUGGAAAAAAAAUGGAGCAAUUUGGAGCUAAAUUGAACGCGUUGGCCAAUUAAUCGGGUGAUAAGACAAAUUAGGCCAAUACUGGAUUUAGAUGGUUAUCCGUGAAUUUUGCAUUCCAUAUCAUGCAUUAGUAGUUUAAAUUAGUCUAAUUUUGAUUUAGUACCAAUGUAGUAAGUUUCUCGAUUUUGUACUAUGUCAAGGUGGUGAGUCUUCCGAUAAAGGCAAGAAAAUUGCAUCCGAGAACCAAUAGUCAGAGUACUUCAAAAAUCCGCACUCUAGAUAUUGUGAGUAACCUUACUAUCGUUUUAAUUAUCUAAAGUGAUUUUUAUCCGAUUUUGUGAAUUUCAUGGAAAAUGAAUUAAAUGAUUAAUUUUUUGGUUUUAUAAACAAAAUAUGAUUUAAUAAAAUGAUUUUAUAAAAUUGUUUUAAAAUUGAAUGAUGGUUUGAAAAUAGAGUAAUUGGAUACUGUUUUUGUGUGUUGUAAAUUCAUGAUUCUAAUUGAUUGGCUUAUGACAAUAUUGGCAUGUAUGGCUGAAUUGGUAUUUGUGUUGAAAUGUAUAAACUGUUGUUUGCCUUGAUAGGCUGGAUAAUUAUAAAAUUACCAUGUCAUGCUGUUGAAUUUUUAUUGUAUGGUGGGUUUAGCUUGCUGUAGUGGGCUGGUUCUGUGGACUAGCCUAUUAGAGGGGCACGAAACUUGGUCAUAUUCUUACCUCGGUUGGAGAGGCGAGUAGGGUAACUCCCGAGGUAUAUCUUUAGAGUUCACUUCACGCCAAACCACCUCGUGAUGAUGAACUCCGCUAACGCCAAGGAACGGCUAUGUUUUUAAAAUAAAAACAUGAUUUAUGCGUACAUAACUUUUUAACAGCCUUGGCGAACUCGGUUGGGAUAGCCCUCGAUCAAGGCAUCCCUGAUAACUGGGUAUGAAAAUGAUUUUUGGCACGAGCCAAAGUUUUAAGAAAUUCAUAAGCCAUGUUAAUUACUUGAUUUAUAUGAAUUGAUUUUAUUUGGUUGAAACAAGUUGAAAAGUGAUGAAUUUCAGUAUGUUAAACUAUUUUAUCUGUCUCCAUUUACUCGGCUUUAGAUAUUUUAGAUGGUAUCCGUUUACUCACUGAGAUUAUAUAAUCUCACCACCCUCUUUUCCACCCAUUUCAGGCUCAGUAUAGGCAAUAGAUAGCUGAUAUCGUCGAAGGCUACAAUUGGCUUUACUUCCUAAAAAAUUGUAGGUUUGCAACCUUUGUUCAUAUUUGUCAUUUAGGGGCCCACAUGUCACUGUAAAUUAAAUUUCAUACUCUAGUUAUCUAUACUACUGUAUAUAGAAAUUUAUUUUGCUUUUACGCUGUAAAAAUUAUUUACGCAGUAUUUUAAAAAUAUUAUUUUAUGAAAAAAUUGAGUAUUUUAUUCAAUAUUUUUAUUUUAUUCUAAUAGUCAUAAUUUCAUUUUAAACGAAUGUUUUAGACAUCCAAAUUUAUUUUUGAUUAUGAAAUAUGUGUUUUGCACCAGCAUACUACAUUUUUAGCAGAUUUCGAGAUUUUUGAUAAAAAAUGACCAAAAUGCCUCUGUGAGAAAAAAUUGUUUUUUUAUUUUUUUGAUUUGGAAAAUGUUUAUAAUCUCUCAAGACAUAAUUUUAGUGACUAAUACUCAUAGGGGAAGUGAGAAAAACUGAUGUUAAGCCUUGCGAGGUUUCGAUUGACAUUUCGAGUAAUGAAUGUCUAUCGGGACGUCGCGACCGUUGUCACGAGCUCGAUAGGAGUUCCGAGUCGUGACAGAGUAUGAGAAUGAUUUUGGCACGAGCCAAGCUUUUCAGGAAAUCAUAAGCCUCGUUGUUUAUUUUGGUGAAAUGAAUCUAUUUUAUCUUAUUAAAAUGAGUUCGAAAUGCUGUGAAUCAUUUUUAUUUUAAUCUAUUUUAUCUGUCUCCAUUUAUUCGGCUUUAGAUAUUUUAAAUGAUAUUUGUUUACUCACUGGGAUUAUAUAAUCUCACCACCCUCCUUUCCAUUCCUUUCAGGCUCAGGAUAGUCAGUAGAUAGCUCAUUUCUUUGAGGGCUACAGUUGGACUUGCAUCCUAAAAAACUGCAGGUUUACCGAUUUAGAUACUUUUGGUCGUUCGUGGGCCCAUGUGUCACUAUAAAUUAAAUCUUAUGCUUUGGUUAUCUAUAUUACAGUAUGUAUGAAUUUAUUUAGUUUUUACCCUACAAAAAUUAUUUACCGGUAACUCUAUAAAUAUUAUUUUAUAAGAAAAUAGAAUAUUUUAUUGAAUAUUUUUAUUAUAUUCAAAUAGGUAUAGUUUNNNNNNNNNNNNNNNNNNNNNNNNNNNNNNNNNNNNNNNNNNNNNNNNNNNNNNNNNNNNNNNNNNNNNNNNNNNNNNNNNNNNNNNNNNNNNNNNNNNNNNNNNNNNNNNNNNNNNNNNNNNNNNNNNNNNNNNNNNNNNNNNNNNNNNNNNNNNNNNNNNNNNNNNNNNNNNNNNNNNNNNNNNNNNNNNNNNNNNNNNNNNNNNNNNNNNNNNNNNNNNNNNNNNNNNNNNNNNNNNNNNNNNNNNNNNNNNNNNNNNNNNNNNNNNNNNNNNNNNNNNNNNNNNNNNNNNNNNNNNNNNNNNNNNNNNNNNNNNNNNNNNNNNNNNNNNNNNNNNNNNNNNNNNNNNNNNNNNNNNNNNNNNNNNNNNNNNNNNNNNNNNNNNNNNNNNNNNNNNNNNNNNNNNNNNNNNNNNNNNNNNNNNNNNNNNNNNNNNNNNNNNNNNNNNNNNNNNNNNNNNNNNNNNNNNNNNNNNNNNNNNNNNNNNNNNNNNNNNNNNNNNNNNNNNNNNNNNNNNNNNNNNNNNNNNNNNNNNNNNNNNNNNNNNNNNNNNNNNNNNNNNNNNNNNNNNNNNNNNNNNNNNNNNNNNNNNNNNNNNNNNNNNNNNNNNNNNNNNNNNNNNNNNNNNNNNNNNNNNNNNNNNNNNNNNNNNNNNNNNNNNNNNNNNNNNNNNNNNNNNNNNNNNNNNNNNNNNNNNNNNNNNNNNNNNNNNNNNNNNNNNNNNNNNNNNNNGCAAGAAAACAAAAGAAUUUGAGAGAGAAUUGAGAUUGUAAAGCUUUUAUAAUUAGUUUCUUUCUCUAUUUUUGUGUUUUUCUUAUUUUCUUUGACUUGGAUUCAUGGCAAAAUUUCUUUGGAUAUUGUUUUUAUUAGAUAUUAUGAGCUAAACUAUUUUUCUAGGAUUAUGGUGGAUUUCAACAUGUACUUUGAAUAUUAGUUUCCUUUUUAUUUACUAUGAAUGUGUAUGAUUUUGCUUAUUAAAAUUUGUUCCUAAUGCUUUUGAUUGUCUGGCCAAUAGUUAACUGAUUUGUGAAUCUAAUUGAGACUCGACAAAGAGAUUUUAAAUUUAGAUUAAGGUUUGAAUAAUGUAUGUUCACGUCAUUUAGGUGAUUUGAUCUGUGAUUCAGGUAGACAUACACCAAUUGCCAUACAUAGCGAAAUUAGAACAUUAGCUUAAUAAACCUUUAUUAAUUGAUUACUAAAGACAUAUAAUGACCCAAUUAAGUUAGGUAUUUGUGCAAGCAUCUCAAUGGAGACUUGUACAUAGCUUUGGAUUCUAGGUUAGUAGACUCACCCAUGAAUGUAAAUAAUACGAGACGCUAUUAUCAUAUGAAGUGUUGAAUGAACCCAUAAUCCUAGGCUUUAGUCUAUUGCUUUUUUUUUUAAGUAAUUUUGAUUUCUGUUGAUUAAUUUAGUGUUUAUUUUAAUUUCAUUUUAAUUGUUUUUCCUCAAUUUUCAAAUUACUUAAAAAAGAUUAAUUUGUUAUAAAAUUUUAGUAUUUAGCAAAAAUUUAGAAACAAAUUCCUGUGGGAACGAUACUUUACUUUUACUAUAUUAUUAGUUUGCAAUAACAUGCACUUGCGUGAAAAUUCAACAACAUCUAUCGAUACAUGAUGAACAUAUAUCGAUAAAUACACUUUAUAAUACAGUUUUAAGUUCAAAAAUCAAUCUUUUUAACUCUAAAAGGAUUCCAACUUCAAAGUAAAUUUAUAUGCUCAAUAAUGUCAAACCCUGUUCUAUAAAAUAAUUACGACAUCAUUUACAUGCUCAAUAGAAUGUUUACAUGUUUAGGAAGUUCGAGGAAUCGUUAAAAGACGAUAUUGCCCCUAAUGGUACCAUUAAGUCGAUUAAGCCUCGAACUAGUUCAAAUAGGAAUUUUGAGGUGAAAUUAAGAGUCUCACAGUUCAGGGAUGACUCAAAAUGGUAAUUCGGAGUUCGAGGAUCAAUUUGGAGUCAAACCGAAAUUUUCACUAUCUAGGGGUAAAAUGGUCAUUUGCCACCUGGGGACAAAAUGAGAAUUUUGAGAAAAGAUUUUUUUGGCCCCAUUUAACUUAUUGGAGUAUGAUUUGAGUAUUGGAGUAUAAUUUGAGGGUUUGGCAGUAAAAAAGUUUAAUUCCGGUGAUUUCGGAGUGUAAGGGCAAAAUCGUAAUUUUUCCACCCGCGGACAAAAUUUGAGAUUUUGAGAGAAUUUAGAUCACAUUUGACAAAUUGGAGAAUGGUAUGAGUAUAAGGGAUGAAAAAUAUGUCUAUGGGCAAUUUUUCAGUUUAUGGGGCAAAAAUGUACUUUUUCCAGCUCGGGGGCAAAACGAUAAUUUUGCACCUCCAGAGCAUUUUUCCAGCACAAGGUCUUCACCCAUCAUCAUUUUUGACCCUUGAAUAAUGUGUGGUGGAGAGAGAAAGCUUAAUAGGUAAGAAAUGACACAUGGACCAAUAAUAAGGUGACAUGUGUCAAGUUUAUAUUCAUUAAUUAUUUAACUUUAAAAUAAACAUAAAAUCAACCAAUUCUCUUUCAUAUGGCCGGCCAAACAAACAAAAAGGAAGAACAAAAGGAGGAAAGGAAAAAACAAGAAACCUAGGUGGGAAAAUUAAAGGAAAAUUGGAGGAUUUCAAGGAAUCAAGCAAUCAAAGGUAAAAUUUCUUGAUUUUGACUUGUGAUCUACCUUUCCCAUGCAUUUCUCCUUAUUUUUCAUGGUUAGAUUUCAUGUUUUCAUGGUGAAUUCAUGGCUGCCCAAAUGGGCAUGGAGAGAGAAUGAAGUUAGAUUAAUUUGAUCUUAAGUUAUGUUAGUAUUUUUAGUUAGUUUAGCAUAUUUAGAAACAAAACAACAAGAAAAAAAUUAAUUUUCCUUAAUUACCAUUAUUGGCCAAAUUUUCUAGGGGAAUAUUGGCUGCUGAUCUUGAUGUUUAUUUGAGGAAUUAUGAUGAAUAAUGAUGAAUUAUGAGCCUAGAAAAAUAAUGGGAAUUUUUGGAGCAAAAAUACAAAUUUUUACCCACUAGGGGUAUUUUUGUAAUUUGCUAUCGAGACUGAUAAUAUGCACUACACUGAGGAACAUUAAGUCAAUUUGGGUGCAAUUGAGGUAUAGAAACGAAAAAAAAUUAAUUUGGAGUUUAAACGGACGCGUAUAUCGAUUUAUCGGGUAAAAGACCGAAAUAGGCUAACAUCUCGUUUAGGCAAAAUUUAGACAUUUUGCACUUCAUAUCAUGCAUUAGUAGUAUAAAUUAGUUUAUUUUGAUUUAGUACCAAAGUAGUAAACCUCUUAAUUGUGCAAUUUGUCAAGGUGGCGAAUCCUCUGACAAGGGCAAAGAAAUCGCACCCAAUGAGUAAUAGUUGGAGUACUCGAAUUUAGUUUUCAAAAACUGUGAGUAAACUUAUUAUCGUUGGUCCAAGUGUCCCCGAGUACAGGAUUUGGCAUGAGCCAAGUUUUGAGUAAUUCACGAGCCAUAUUGAUUAUUUGGUUGAAAUGAAUAUUCGUGAUGUGAAAAAUUUGCUGAAGUUAAUUAUUUUUAAUUAUCUCCAUUUACUCGCCUUUAGAUAGUUUAGAUAGUGUCUGUUUACUCACUGAGAUUUUAUAAUCUCACCACCCUCAAUUCCCCACAUUUCAAGUUCGAGAUAGCAGGUAGAUAGUCAAUUGCAUCAAGGACUUCAGUUAGCCUUGCAUUGUCAAAAUUAUAGGUUCACAGACUCGCAUCUUAUUGGUUAGUUGGGGGCCCACGUGUCAUUGUAAAAGUAAUUUUAUACUUUAGUUAUCUGAUUUAAAAUAUGUAUGAACAUAUUUAGCUUUUACACCAUGUUUUUGGCGAGUUUCGGUAUUAUCGAAAAAAAUGACGAAAAUGCCCAUAUGAGCCAAAAAAUAAUAUUUUAUUGUUUUGAUUUGGAAACGACUUAUGAUUUCUUGAAAUGCAAGAUUUAAUAACUGUCGCUCACCGGGGAGAUGCGAAAGCUGAUGCUAGGCCUUGUGGGGUUUCGAUCGACAUUCGGGGUAAUGAGUGCCUAUUGGGACGUCGCAGCGGUUGUCAUGAGCCCGAUGGGAGUUUCGGGUCGUGACAAAUAAAUUAUGAAUUUCCCAAGCUAAAAUGCUUCUAUAAAAACGUUUAGAAAUGUUAAAUCACUAGCUCACCAAGUUAAGUUACAGUUCAAAUCUUUAUCUAAGGAUGGGGUUUCAUACCCUAGCAUUGGGUCACUUUGUUUUGAUAAUUUAGAUUGAGUUGUUGACAUCGAAUGAUUCAUGUCUC